rnacentral:lncRNA from 1 species
GCACGUUCACUCACACAUGCUGUUUAUACUCCGGAAGUACGCAUCCACAUAUAUCCACUCACUUCCAUCUCCAGAACCACCCAAAAGUAUUCUACUCCUAAUCUAGGAGAGAAUAACCAAAAAUAUUUCUGUUUUUCCCUGUGGAAUAAAUGCUCGAGUUAUCUUGAUUACUACCACUUGCUAUAUUAUCUCUGGAGAUGAGUGCUCUAAAAAAAGAGGAAAAAGACAAGGAAAUAAAAAGGGGCAAGUGCCCGAAACCUCGAAGAAAAGAAAAAGUGUGACGAGAGGUAAAAAUGGACAAGUGUCCGACAAUAGAAUUAGGGGUACAAGAUACCCACCUGAGAGAAAAGAAAAAGAAAAUAUAGAGCAUCUCAUUCUCCUCAAAAAGCUUCAAAGUGCAAGAAAAGUAUGUAUCCCCUUAAAAGAGCAAAAGUAGAAUUAGACUUUCACCAUUGUUUUCACCAUUAUCACCAUUAUCACCAUACCCCAUUCAUUCACCACACAUGCACAUCUUGAUUUGACUUAUUGACUUGUUCUUCUGGAUCCAUGGUUUGACUAUGCAAUAAAUGUCCUGUAAGUAUGUAUUAGCUGUCUCCCACCUAUGAGCUCCAGACCAAAAAUACCUCAUACUUUGAGAGAGAAGGCAAUAUCACUAUGCCUCAUACCAAAAAUACCUCAUACUUUGAGAGAAGGCAUAUACCAUUACUGCCUUGGAAAGGAUCUAGAAAUACCACAAAAGAGAGAAUUGAGAGAGUCAUACAAGGAAUCUCUGAGUUUUAUUUGAAAAUCUGCAAAAACUCCAGAGCUAUAGCUGAGCAAGAAUAAGAGACAUGGCGCUUGACUAGACUAUUCUAUCUUUUAACUGCUCAAGUCACAAGUGACAGUUGCAAGCCCCAUGGUGAAAGGUAAAAUGAGUAAGUUUUAAGUCUUAACAGUUUACUCUAACUCAGAGAUGAGAUCUUGCUUGAACGCAUGUGUACUUUUAAGGCAUAAAACCACUGCAGAAACUCUUGAGUCCAUCCUUGCUCAAGGACGAGCAAGAGGUAAGCUUGGGGGAGUUGUUGAUGGUCCUUAAGUACCAAAUAUAAUCAUCAAAUAAAUAAAGAAAAGGAUCCAAAUGCAACCAACACAUAGACUUAGGGUUUUAUCUGACAGAAUUCCACAAGUUUUGGUGUUUGUCUAUUUCUGCAGGGGGUUAUCAGGAAAUAUGGAGGAAAGGCCCAGACGUCGGGUUUACAUAGAGAUAUUAACAUGCCUUGCAAUUUUUUGUCAUCUAGAAGACUCCAGAAGCCACGGGAACGAACGGGACGCCGAACGGGCCCGGGGGCAGGGCGCCCGCCCUCCCCCCUUGGGCGCCCACCCUGGUACAAGCACUAAUCACAGAAUGGAGUACACCAUUACAAAGAUCUCGUCGAGCUGUUCGAAAUGCAUAUAUUACUUGCUAUAGUUGGAGUUCGGAAUCAAGAGAUAUUAAUAAAAGGACUCCACAUAAAAGAGUUGCGGGAUUAAUUGGGCCCAAAACAGAUUUUGGUCCAUUACGGCCUAUGUGCAUUUUAAUGAGAUAUGGUGGAAAGUUUAGUACCACAUCGCCUGCUGAACCAAAAAGGCACAAAAGGAGGGGACUAUAUAAGCAGACCCCCUGGCCCCUGGAGGAGAACAAGUUCAUUAUAGAGUUGAGAGGUGCCCUCGAAGGAAUACCUCUCCUCUAAAUAAAAUUUCUUUUAGGCUUGCUAAUCCAAUGUGAGUAGAAUUAGAUCAUCUAGUUUCUACUAGAUUGAGAGAGAUAGAGUGGAGGUAUAGAUCGGAGGAAGCCCGGCCUGUCGGUGUCUACUCCGAGGUUGUACCUACGGGAUCAAGUCUUCUAACCCGAGGCUUGCUCCUAGGAUUCUUCAGUAAUUCGACUUCUAAUUCUAGUAAGUUCUUAUUUUAUUGUUCUUUGGUUUAUGAGUUUACUUUAAUCUCUUCUGGUUGAGUAUUAGAGUAAUCAUUGCUAGCAUAAACGUGGUGUUUAGGCUAGGGUACUCAUAGAUAUCCCCUGACUAGCUGGACCGUGGUAGUAGCGAGGAACGUGACAUUUCCGAGUUACCUUUGUAUCCCACAUCUCGUUAGCAGGACGGGUAGGUUUAUAGGUGCGGGUCGAACAUCCUUUGUGGUGUCGAGAUUCCGUAAGCUUCCCCAAUAGAAUAGUAGAUCAUCCUUACCAAGGUUAGAACGAGACUACGGUUGCAGUCUUCUCUAUACAUCGCUCACAUCGAGAAACAUUCUUUGUAGCCUAAAGGGAUAGUAGCAAUAGAUUUGGUUAGUCAGAUGCACCCUUUCUCCCAGUGGUAAAAAUAUAAAUACGAUACUCUGGAAAACCUCCCGGGUGAAAUGCUCACCGAUAUCCGUGCGCUUGCGGAUCAUUUCCUUAUUGCGUUACCAAAUAUCAACACCCCUUUUUGGUGAUUGAUGACAAUAACCUCGAGUAUGAAGAAAGUGAGGUUUUCAAAUGACUUGGUUUCUAUAAGCAUGAGACAAUAAGAACACAAAGGGAUUAGACAUGCUUAUAUCAACCAAGCCUACCAUACUGCAUCCAAAUAUGUGAGAUGUGUACAACAGGAUAUAAAAGCAUAUGGCUCAUAGUAAAUCGGAGUGAAAACGCGGAAGCAAAGAAAUAUGAGCCAACAAAAUGACAUAAAGAUAUCACAACGAAGCAAAAGUCAUGUCUCACAACCAUAAAUGUAUCUCACAAUCUAAAGUUUCUCACACAAAUAUGCAUAAAAGUAAACAUGAUGCAUGGAGUAGCAUAAAGCACUAAAAAAUAAUCAAAGCCCACUCUCUGGCUCCCCCUAACUCUAUCAUACUCUAACUCUCUCCCCCAUCAAGCACCAAAAACCUAAGACGAAGGAGGUGGAGGUGGAGCAGAGGAGUCCCGCGGCACGGCCUCGAACUGAGCUGCAUCAUCUGAACCAUCGGUCGUAGACUCGGAGGAGGUGGAGUGACCCUCGGAUAUUGCACAAGCUGGAGAAGCUAUCUGGGUCUACUCUGUGGGCUCAGCAGCUGUCACAGUCUGUGCUGGUGGCUCAAGUCCGGCUGAAGAAGCUGGCACUAACUCUGUGGCUGUAGCUGAUGUCUCUGGUACGGUAGAGGAUUGUGCUAGCUGCUCAGAGGAGGCCACUGAUGAUGACAGGCGCUCUGUAGUGGUAACUGGAAGCGUAAAGGCUGCAGGAGCCUACAGUGGAGAAGGCAUAGGAUCCCCAAUCAGAGCACUGUAUGAAAAAGAGAUGUGCUGCCCUGUCGACGAAUCCAACACAAGCUGGGAAGUUGUAGCUGACUGCGGUGUGAAGCUUGAGCGGAGAGGGGUAAACUGGGGCACCUGCUCAAAACCAAAGGAAAUAACACCCUGAGAGACCUGGUGCUAAGGUGUCGAAAACGGCUAGCUCUGAGUAGGUAGCUGCAGCGGAGGCUGAGACUGACUCAGUAACCCACUGGGCUGUGGCACUGAGUCAGAGGCCUGACCAAAGAGGUACCUAGAAGCUAUAUCUGUGGUAGUUGAAUCCCUGAUGCAGCUAUAACAGCGGCCAUCAUGGCAGUCUGCUGGGCCUGGAAAGCCAGCAGCUGCUCUUGGAAGGUCAGGAGUUGUCUCUAAAGCUCGUCCUACCUAGCCUACAUGGCUGCAUUGAUGGCAGCCUAGUCUCUGUCCCUAUUAGACUGCUCCUCAGCUACUCUACGCUGAUCUGCUCUCAUCCCCUCAAGAAUAGCUAGCAGAGCUGGGUCUGUGGCACUAUAAGAGCCUCCUGCCUUGUGGUCAUGCUGCCUCGGAGGAAGAUCUGGUACAGGGAGAUGAUAAUCAUCGUCUGAACUGUCGGAAGCAAACUCAAACUCCUCCUCGGUCUCAGCAUCUACGAACGCCCCAAUGGCUAUGUCCUGCUCCUCCUCUUUCUCUAGGACUGCCCGUGAACUACGAGUAGUCCUAGGUGAAGGUGGUGGCACUUGGCCACAUGGUGCUGGUGGAGGACGUGGAGCUCAGAGAUCAUGAUGCGCUCUCAAUAUCUAUCGGGGGUCGUAGUGUGGGAACACUGUGUCGGCAUCUGUCAGCUCCCUCUUAAUGUGAGCUGGAAGAGGCUCAGGCCUAGCAUUGAGAAUAAGCAAAGUGAUCCAGUGUGCAUACGGCCGCUGACGGCAACCCCUAAAGCUCUCUGCUAUGGUGUCCUCAAUCUCUAACACUAUCAAGUCGCACAAGUCAAAUGGCCUCUGAGCAAUCAGAUGGGCUAUCAACCGCUGGUAAAUCCUAGUGAAGCCAUCUCUGUAGCCUAUCUUGCAGAAGAGAGUCUUCCUCAUCACAAAGUCAAGGAUCAUAGCUAGGCGUGUCAGAUCACCCACUGUCCUACUGGAACCCUCACCAAACGGUUGACGGAAGCAAGGAGCAACAAAGUCAACCGAUAGAUGAGCACCACCGUGUGGUCGUCGAGGGGGCUCAAAGUUCCCAUAACACAGCUCAUUGAUCCUGGUAGCAUAAGCUGUGAGCCCCAAAACCUCUUUGGCCCUCUGAGCUGUCACUCUAUUGUCUAUGCCUACAAGUGCAUAGUGGAUGUAGCUGUGAUCUGGAGCAACCCACACUAAGGCAUAGAACUCAUGUACCCACUCCUCAACAUAGGUACCUGGUAGAGGAAGCAAACCUGGGAGACCUGUAACGUAGGUAAUGUACUACUUGAUGUCCACACCUACCACAUUCCCAAGAAUCUCUAGAUCGAGCACUCGAUGCUCCCUAGACUGAGCCUGAGAGUGGACAUAUACCUCAUACAUGUCCUCCUGAACCACUGUGUAAAACCUAGCAUGUGCCCUCUAAUCUCGGGCUGCUGGAAACUAGGUGAGGAAGGGAGCGAACCUCAACUCCUGGAUCUCACGAGUAGGAGCCAGGGUAUAAUCCUUAUGGAUCCUGGCAGGAGCUGGACGUGGAGCUGGAGUGCCACGUGCUAGGGUGGAGCGAGCAGACAAGGUGGACUGGCCAUGCGUACCCGUCUUGGAGGCAGCCUGGGUAUGAGCACAAGUCGACCUCCGAAGGGACUGCUCCUCCUGCUGAACCUCUGCCAAACCCUCUACCUGGGCCUUUGCCUCUGUCUCUAGCUCCUCCUGUCCUGGCUCAGUGACGUUGAUCCGGACACGUUGACCCCCUAGCAUGAUAGUGCCAGGUGGAGACCCAUGUCGCUGCUCAACCUCAAGCAGUGCACGCCUUUGAGCUAUCGUGAGGUCAGACCUAAUCCUUAGAGCACCUGAGAGACCACCCCUAUCUGCUGCCUCCGCUGCUGUUGCCACUGCCUCAGCUAUCUCUGCAUCUCUGUCACUGGCCUUCUUCUUUGUAGCCACUUUCUUGCCUUUGCCCUUCUCUACAGGUGUCAGACAAUGGGUCCUGUCAUCUCCCCCAUCGCCAGCUGGAGUGCCACCACUGCCGGCUGUCGGACCACUGACGUUCUUGCAAUGUGCCAUUGCAAGAACCUAAACCUGAGAAACUACCGAAAGUUGAAAGACUGACACUCGUGAGGCUUGGCCUCAAUCCGUACUUGCGGGCUUAGCCCUGAGUUCAACUACCACUCACAACUGCUGAAAAGAGACCACGUGCUGCAAGAGAUAGAAUAGAUAGGGUAUAUAUAAGCAUACACAGUAUCUAGAGACAAGGAGGCCCUAUAGAAUGCAAGAUUGGAUGAGAUUUGACAUGAACUGCUUACGAUCAGGUGACAAGAAGCGUUCCGGAUAAAAGAUCGCUGUAACACCCCAGUGUUAUGGUUGAAUUCUUUCACAUGCAUAACAUGAGCACCAUCAUCUUCAUAAGCAUAUCAUGAUCAUCAUUUAACUUGCUUAAAUAUGCUUUCUAUGCUUAUGGUUGCUUGUGCCAUGCUCAUGUUUGUGUUUUAUGCCUUGGUAAAUAGUUCAUCUAUGCUUAACUCAUCUUUUGGAAAAAUGUUCAUGUUAGUCACAUCUCCAAAUUAAGUACCUAAGUCAUACUUUCACUUAUAGGCCCUAAAAACCUCUUUUGCUUAGGCUUUUAAAAAGUGGAUCAUAAAUUGUUUACAUAUAAAAACUUAUUAAAGAGUAGUUGUAGAAAAUUUUAUAAGGAACAAAAGUUGUUUCAUGGCCAUCUCAUGAAAAUGAACACAUCAUGCUCAAAAAGUGCAUGCAAGGCUGUUUUGGGUGCUGUUUUGGCACUUCAAAAUUUUGCUAAGUCCUCGCGCCACCAGUUUGCUUGAUCAGUUUUGGGAACUUCAUAUCUCUUUAUCCAGGUCGAUUUGGCCCUUGCCCCAGUAGUCAAUCUUGUAGAACUCGUUUAGUACUCAAACUUUUUCAACUACAACAUCUCCUAAUUCACCACGGUUUGGGAGUUAAUCAUCGUCAAAGUGGCUCUGUCAGACAAGUAUCGCAGUGUCUGAAUGGACGCCGUGCUCGCCGUCGUGGCCGACCAGCGCAGCACCUGGCUGCCAUUUGGCGACCGUACACCAGCACUGGCCCCACUCGUCAGGUCAUCGACGCCGUCAUGGAUGCCACGACACCCCGCACACGCCAGCACUCGUCCACUCUCUCCCUCUCUUUCUCUCACGACUCCGACGGCUAAAACGCCAUCGCCAUUGUCGCCGAGACCUCCGCGAGCUUAUCGCGCGCUCGUCUUCGCGCCUCGCCUCGAGCUUCCCCAUCUUCUCCACCUCUUGGUUGGAUGAGACCUCCCUGAGGUGGGCCACAUUUCGCGAGAUUGCCGUCGUCGGGUUCACGGCCGUCGUGACCCCGAUUCCGACGAACCUCACCGCUGCUCCGUCCUUGUCUUCUUUCUUCUCUCCGAGUUGCAUUAGAGUCUGCCUAGGUCUCGGUUGUGGUUUGUGCCACACCAUUCCAGCCUUGGUGCCACCAUCGCGCGGGAACACGGCCACCGCACCGCUGUGCUCACCGCCGACGAGCACCCCGCACGUGAGCAGACUCACCGGAGCCAUUAGGGUUAGGCGUUUUUCCUAGAAAUCUCUGCGCUGUUGUUGACGGUCCUUAAUGCCCAUAUUUAACCAUCAACUAAUCAUGGAAAAGGAUCCAAAUGGAACCAACACCUAGACUUAGGGUUUUAUCUGACAUAAUUCCAUGAGUUUUGGUGUUUGUGUAUUUCUGCAGGGGGUUAUCAGGAAAUACGAAAGAAAGGCCCACACGUCGGGUUUACAUAGAGAUAUUAACGUACCGCACAAUUUUCUACCAUCUAGAAGACUCCAGAAGCCACGGGAACGAACGGGAGGCCGAUCGGGCUCGGAGGCAGGGCGCCCGCCCAACUCUCCUGGGCGCCCGCCCAGCUACAGUGUCCAAUUCGGACCCGUUUCGCGUAUUAUGCUCCACCGACCUAAAGGAUCAAGGAAAACCAUGCGAUCAAUGUCGGUUUGAUCCGACGGCCCAGAUUCGCUUGAAGGGACUAUAAAAUCAGACCCCCCUGGCCCCUGGAGAGCAUACCUCUUCUACAGAAUCAAAGUUAGGGUUUCAAUUCUUCAUCCAAGUAGAGAGGAUCCCUCUAGUUCUUCUAGUUCUAGUUCCUCUAGUUCUAGUUCUAGUUAGUUCUAGUUGUAAUUUAGAAAAUAGGGAGAGAGAAGAGGAGAGCGGAGGAGGAGCCGGAUCUGUCGGAUCUUCCUCAACAUUAUACUUUUGCAGCAUCUGGUUCAUUCUUCAUCGUUCUCCAGGUUCUUCAAUUCAUAAUUCCUGAGUUCUCUAAUUACUUUUAUUUACAUUCAAGUUAUUUAUAGGAUUCCCGCUUGCAUCAAGUGCUCUAAUCUUUGAAACAUUAGAGUAGUAAUUAAUAGAUGAGACGUGGUGUUUAGUCUUGCAAUUACCUGGAAUUGCACCCAAUCCUGCGGAUUGUUGUGGUAGCCCUAGGGUAGUGACAGCCCUAACGGUCGACGUAUUCCACCAUGUUCGGAUCGGUGUUUGUAGGACCGUAGUCAGACCUUCCUAGCCCCCUUCUCAUCUCUUUCUGUGGUUAGUGCUCUGAUGUCCCGAUAUAGAUAAUCUUGAAGUAAUUCUUGAUUCUUAGAUCAACUAGAGAACUCUCAGGAAACUUCCUCUCUUCCCACCAAAAAUAUUCAUAUAGUUAUCCUUGGGCGAUCUUGGAUCUUAAUUAGUACACUCACGUUCUCUGUCGAAAAUCGAUACUCUGGAAUACUCCCGGGUGGAAGCUACAUCGGUAUUCGUGCGCUUGCGGAUUUUUCUGUUUGCGUUUAAAAUACCCAACAAGCUUUCUGGCGCCGUUGCCGGGGAACGGUAGUUGUGCUAGUUUCGAACCAAGUCGUCCGUGUAUCCUUUUUCUUUUCCUUUUUUACCACACUCACCUUAUCACUUUCACCAUACCACAUGGAUUUCACUCUAAGCAUUAAUGAGCAUGGAAUUUAUUUCAUAGCCACUUCACUUACUCCAUGCUCAUAUGCAACAUCUUCACAAUCCAUUGGUCUCUCCAACAUCACCACAUUCGAGAUCUCCAACCCCCUCUUCCUUUCUAUUCAUAAAAACUUUAAAAGGGCAGUUGUCGAUGCAUAUGUAUAUAUUAAAUAUUGCAGAUCUCGUUGAGUGAUCUUGAUAUAGGUCAGCGUUGGAGGGGAAACCACUUCGCCGACUUAAAUUAAUGGUUUCCCAAGGACAAGCUUAGUGUCCUAAAACAAGCACCGAUCAGAUUGUAACAUGAGCUUUUAAUUAUUUGCAACAUUACCUUGUGUGUUGAGCAUAUAAGGAUAAUUGUAAAAAUAUUCCUUCGGGUAUUCUUGUCACUAACCUUUACAGGAUUGGAGCAAGAAGAUCGGAUGAAUGACAAGCACAAGGUAUGUCCAACCAAUCAUCAUACAACAUUGAAUUAAAUUCAUCCAAACUUGAAUUUUGCAAAAUUCAAGCUUGGGGGAGUACUUUACAUCUCCACUUGAGUAGAUCUGUUAAAUACUAAUCACACUACUUCAUCUCCACUUGAGUAGAUCUCUAUAAAUGCUCUCAUGCUACCUUUAUUUGCUUUAGUAUAUGUCUAGGCUUGGAGUAGUUUCAUUUAUCUCUUAAUUAAGCAUGGUGCUUAGUUUAGGGCUGAUGAUCUUACUUCCAAGGGAGUUUAAAUUAAGCAUGAUGCUUAGGUUAAAAUGCCCUCCUAAAUCAAAUUAGACAUGGUGUCUAGGUUGAUCUUUGAGCUGAUAGUAUGCUAUAGUAGAUAUUGGAUAUUUUGUUGGACUAACCCCUGCAGGAAAACUUUCAUAUCGACCUGGGAAGUCCUGAGAUAAACUCAUAUUGGAGACAAAGAGAGAGGCACAUGAAGGUUAACAAUUUACACAAGGAAGGCAUAGCUCACAAGAGAUGAUCCAUGGACGGUGCCACAAACACGAUCCACAACCGCUAAGAAAGGAAAGCUUCCACAAGGUGAUACUGUACCAUCACUCUUCAAGUAAGGUAACAUCUUAAGGUACUUAACUAUCACUUCUGUAAGCUUCUCCUUAUUUCUGGCAUUCACAUGAGUAAAAGAGACAAACAUGUAAGAUUUACAACUCUAGAUUAACCAACCCAAUCGAUUCAAUAUGUUUAGUCCUUCCACCUUUGCGAUCCUACACUCCUAAUCAUAUAAUCUAAAAUGUUGCACAUGCAAUCUUUGGAAGAUAUAUAAAAAACAUAAGUAUAGAUAGAUUAUCUUUCCAUUAGGUUGAGCGAUCUGAUCUGACAAAUGCUUUAAAUGCUACACUCAUGAUCUUAUUAUCCAUCAACUUUGUCUUGCUCACUAUGCUUAAGGUUAGAGAAGAACAAAUACACUUUUGGUUCUGUUGGUGUUUUCCACCAACAGAGCCCAUGCACUUGAUCUCUGCCUUGUCUCUAUGAGCAGGUACACUUCGAGCAAAAUAUGAAGGAGUUUUACAACUCCCAGACUCCACCAAGCGAAGAAUCUAGAUCUACGAGCACAAACACACUGGAGAUACUAGACACUCAUGCAAUCACUGCCCUGAGAUGCUUGAGGAUGUAACUACUGGAGUAACCCCGUUGUGGAAGUAAUUACUGACCUUCUGCUGGUCAAGAGAGACAAUCCAGGACGCCCCGUCAUCCCGAUCUCCAUCGGCAUGGUGGACUUCCUAGAAGCACUCUGCGACUUUGGCUCCAGCGUCAACAUUAUGCUCAGGGUACUCUAUAAAAAAUUCUUUACACAUCCUUUCCUAGAAACAACCAUGUGUUUGCAGCUUGCAGAUCAGACACUAAGUUUCCCAAAGGGAAUAUUGAAGAACCUCUGCAUCCGAGUUGGUACCUUGUACGCCCCAGCAGACUUCAUAAUAAUAGAGACUCGUACUGAUGAGAGGGCACCCAUCAUCCAAGGGAGGCCAUUCCUGAACACCUCAGGAGCUACCAUCUACGCUAGUGCUGCCAAGAUCAGUUUCUACAUCAAGGGGAGAAAGGAGAUGUUUUCCUUCAAGAACAAGACUACACAAAUAUCAAAGCAAUCCCGACAUGAACCAAGGAAGAGGACCAACCGGAGGAACAGGAACAAGCAAGUGUCGACCAAGUCAGCUAAGAUGGUCACUGCAGUUCAAGGAGGUCAAGAUCGUCGACUUCAGUCACCGUUCCUGACCAAGAAGGACGACCCUAGUGUUCCAAGCAUCGAGUGCACAAUCAACGGAUAUUCUUUUCAGAAGACACUCUACGACACCGGAUCUGACAUCAACAUAAUGGCCGCAGUCACUUAUCAGCUCCUGCUUGGAACCAUGUCCUUACAACCAACAUACAUUCAGCUCCAGAUGGCAGAUCAGACAUUUUGAAAGAUUGAAGGUUAUUGACAUGGGAGAAGACAAGUACGAUCCAUCCAUCAUCCUUAGGAGACCGUUCCUCAGCACCGCUAAAGCAAUCAUCUACAUUGGAACCGGAGAAGUCCACAUGCACUUCCCUCUGAGAAGGUACGCCGCUAUUGUACUGGCCCUAACUAUAUAGUUGAAGACUCUAAGCAGGUCAGGACAAGAAGGAAACGACGCAACCGCAAUCAGAGAAGGCAAAUCAUCAAGGACGUAUGGGUAGACUACGAUGGAGAAAGGUCUGAAGACAUACAACUUGAACAGAACUAUCCUGAGGAGAACGUAGCACCGAGUCAGGUGUGUAGAGAGAAGAUAGUUAUACAUGAAGAGGAAGCACCGUCGGAACCACCGACUACGCCAUCCAGCGAAUCCCAGAAUGACUUAGGAAACAGAGAGUCCCGUUCGGAGGACUUGAAAACACCGAACGCCUUGCCAAGAGGUAAACUUGGUAGUUAUCCUUUUCCUUUCAAUUAUUUAAAAUAGUUUGCUUAGUUAAUCAGGUUCAUAUCAUCUUUAAAAGAAAAUAAAAAUGUUAAAAAAAUAGUAAGCCCCAUGUGAGUAUGCUCAUGGCAUAAAACCCAUAAGUACAUUCACUGUGGUGGCAUAAAAAUGAAAUAAAUAUAUUCCUGUCCUAUAAAAAUAAAUUUAUAAAAAUAAAAUUAUGAUCCUACUAAAGAGAGUAACAUUUAUUGAGGAGGCUCAACAUGAUAAAGGCUAGAUAUUUAUGCUAACACUUAACUAGUUCCACAAAGCUUUGUUGUUUAUUUGAGCUCCACAGAAUUCAAGGAUCAAAGAAGACUAGCAGACGGAGGACAUCCUACUCGCUGUCAGGGUGCUGCCAACAUUCAAAUACACCUCCGCCACCUGCUAGCUACAUCAGAAGAGAUUACGUCAAAAUCCAGCUUGGGGGAGAGCACCCCCAUUUAUCCAGCUAAGUAUUCUACUCACGUUUAUACUUUACUCUAAUAAUAAAAAGAUGCAUAAUCAUAGAAACCCAAAUAAAGAUUUUGUGCUUAUAUAUAUCUUUGCUUAGUUUGAUAAAUAAAUAAAUAAAAUUUGCUAUGACACCUCAUGAUAACCUCUCACAUGGAAAUGAUGAAUAGUUGCUCUGCCAUGACUAGUUUUUAAAAUUGAAAUCUCUCUCAAGUUUAGGCAUGACUGUUAUUAAUUAAGAUUUGCUCUAAACCUAAACUUGUGGGAAGAGUACUUGAUCUGAAGUCUAAGUCGUUAACGGAUAUGAUAUGGGAAGGUUGAGCUGCUGUUUAUCUGUUCCUAGAGAUGCUAGAAUUCUGGAGAAUUUUAUCUUUGAAAAUCUUUAAAAUGUUGCAUGAUGAGUUCCUGUAUGAUGAGAGUUUAAAUUCCUACCACAGCCAUAUAUACAUGCUUGCUAGACUUUGAGCCACACAUUUACUUUUUACUGCUUAUGAGCAUUGAGUGUGGUCAAGCUGUGUAGACCCUAAGGAGCUUGUCAUGUGGUUAAGUCAAGAUUCACUUGCACAUUCACUCACACAUGCUGCUUCUACUCCGGAAGUACGCAUCCACAUAUAUCCACCCAUUUCCAUCUCCAGAAUCACCUAAAAAUAUUCUACUCCUAAUCUGGGAGAGAAUAGCCAAAAACAUUUCUGUUUUCCCCUGUGAAAUAAAUGCUCAAGUUAUCUUGGUUACUACCACUUGCUAUAUUAUUUCAAGAGAUGAAUGCUCUAAAAAAAGAAAAAAAAAGAUACGAGGAAAUAAAAAGGGGCAAGUGCUCGGAACCUCGAAAGAAAAGAAAAAAAGUGAGAUAAGAGCUAAAAGUGGACAAAUGUCCGACAGUACAAUUAGGGGUACAAGAUACCCACCUGAGAGGAAAGAAAAAGAAAAUACAGAGCAUCUCAUUCUCCCCAAAAGUUUCAAAAGAGCAAGGAUGGUAUGUAUCCCCUCAAAAGAGCACAAGUAGAAUUAGACUUUCACCAUUGUUAUCACCAUCAUUACCAUACACCAUUCAUUCGCCACACAUGCACAUCUUGAUUUGACUUAUUGACUUGUUUCUCUGGAUCCAUGGUUUGACUAUGCAAUAAAUGUCUUGUAAGUAUGUAUUAGCUGUCUCCCACCUAUUAGCUCCAGAUAUCAAAACCUUAUUAGAGUAGGGUGAGAGAGAAGGCAAUGCCACUAUGCCUUAUACCACAAAUACCACAUACUUUGAGAGAAGGCAUAUACAAUUACUGCCUUGGUAAGGAUCUAGAAAUACCACAAAAGAGAGACUAGAGAGAGUCAUACAAGGAAUCUCUGAGUUUUAUUUGAAAAUCUGCAAAAACUCCAGAGCUAUAGUUAAUCGAAGAACAAGAGACAUGGUGCUUGACUAGACUGUUCUAUAUUUUAACUACUCAAGACAGAAGUGACAGUUACAAGUCCCAUGGUGAAAGGUAAAUGAGUAAGUUUUAAAUCUUAACAGUUUACACUAACCCAGAGAUAAAAUCUUGUUUGAAUGCAUGUAUAUCAUUAAGGCAUGAAACCACUGCAGAAACUCUUGAGUUCAUCUUUGCUCAGGGACGAGCAAAGGUUAAGCUUGGGGGAGCUUGUUGACGGUCCUUAAUGCUCAUAUUUAACCAUCAACUAAUCAUGGAAAAGGAUCCAAAUGGAACCAACACCUAGACUUAGGGUUUUAUCUGACAGAAUUCCACGAGUUUUGGUGUUUGUGUAUUUCUGCAGGGGGUUAUCAGGAAAUACGAUAGAAAGGCCCACAUGUCGGGUUUACAUAGAGAUAUUAACGUACCGCACAAUUUUCUACCAUCUAGAAGACUCCAGAAGCCACGUGAACGAACGGGAGGCCGAUCGGGCUCGGAGGCAGGGCGCCCGCCCAACUCUCCUCGGCGCCCGCCCAGCUACAGUGUCCAAUUCGGACCCGUUUCGCGUAUUAUGCUCCACCGACCUAAAGGAUCAAGAAAAACCGUGCGAUCAAUGUCGGUUUGAUCCGACGGCCCAGAUUCACUUGAAGGGACUAUAAAACCAGACCCCCUGGCCCCUGGAGAGCAUACCUCUUCUACAGAAUCAAAGUUAGGGUUUCAAUUCUUCAUCCAAGUAGAGAGGAUCCCUCUAGUUCUUCUAGUUCUAGUUCCUCUAGUUCUAGUUCUAGUUAGUUCUAGUUGUAAUUUAGAAAAUAGGGAGAGAGAAGAGGAGAGCGGAGGAGGAGCCGGAUCUGUCGGAUCUUCCUCAACAUUAUACUUUUGCAGCAUCUGGUUCGUUCUUCAUCGUUCUCCAGGUUCUUCAAGAUUCAUAAUUCCUAAGUUCUCUAAUUACUUUUAUUUACAUUCAAGUUAUUUAUUGGAUUCCCGCUUGCAUCAAGUGCUCUAAUCUUUGAAACAUUAGAGUAGUAAUUAAUAGAUUAGAUGUGGUGUUUAGUCUUGCAAUUACCUGGAAUUGCACCCAAUCCUGCGGAUUGUUGUGGUAGCCCUAGGGUAGUGACAGCCCUAAUGGUCGACGUAUUCCACCACGUUCGGAUCGGUGUUUGUAGGACCGUAGUCAGACCUUCCUAGCCCCCUUCUCAUCUCUUUCUAUGGUUAGUGCUCUGAUGUCCCGAUAUAGAUAAUCUUGAAGUAAUUCUUGAUUCUUAGAUCAACUAGAGAACUCUCAGGAAACUUCCUCUCUUCCCACCAAAAAUAUUCAUAUAGUUAUCCUUGGGCGAUCUUGGAUCUUAAUUAGUACACUCACGUUCUCUGUGGAAAAUCGAUACUCUGGAAUACUCCCGGGUGGAAGCUACAUCGGUAUCCGUGCGCUUGCGGAUUUUUCUGUUUGCAUUUAAAAUACCCAACAGCUGUCUCACUGAUGCUUAAGUCGCCUUUCCCCAACGCUCUACCGGUCAGAGAUGGCCGGCGUAAGCCGAGGUAGCUCCGCUGUGUCGCCAUGGCCGACGACGACCUCUCUCCGUCGCUCAAACCCUAGAGCCACCUACCUCUAUCGACGCGGAAUCACUUAAGGAUCACGUUGGUGCCCUUGGAUCCACUGGAGAAGCUCACCGUCGGUGAGCAUUCGCCGGCGAGUGUGUCCUCUGUUCUCUGGGUCGCUGACACGUGGGUCCCACUGUCAGUGACACAACAGCUCCCUCCUCUCUUUUAUUUAAAAUCUGGAUUUCUUGCAAUCUUGCAAAAAUCAUAUCUCCAGUUUUUAAGCUUCAAAAUUUGUGAAACAAAUUUUGUGAUGAUCCCUGAGAUGGCUAGUUUUUAAUAAAAAUAUAAUAUGCACCAUGUUUUUUUAUGAAAAAUAAUUGUUAUGAAUUAAUCUUGUUAACCAUGUGUAGAUUCAUAUCUUUUGAUGUACUACUCCAAUUGCUGUGACAUUUUUAUGCUAUGCUCUGAGUAGUAUUAGAAGGCUCUGAUAAAUAUUUCAUGAUUUUUGGAGUGUUGUAUCUCUAAUAUGUAAUUUAUGUUAAUACUAUGGCUUGAUUUCGUAUUUAAAUCAUAAUAAAUGUUUGAAGCUUAUGCUGGUAUUCUCCUUUGGUGUCAAGCAUGUUUAUAGUAGUAGUAACAUGUAAAUAAUUUGAAAUCUGUUGUUUGACACUAUCUAAGCCAUGUUUCUUAAUUUAUGAAAUAAGCACCUUGUUACAUAUUAAUUACUUAUCUUAAGUUUGGCAUGUGCAAUUGCUCUGAAAAUUUUAUGGUAAUGUACAGAUGCCAUGCUUGUGCUUCUGUAAUUUUUGUAGAUUUUUCUGAGCACUCUUACUGGUAUCUUGUAAUUAUGUCCUUUUAUGGAAUUGGAUUAAUAAAGGCCUUGUUAUUGUAUGUUUAGUGGUCAACAUGUGAUGUUCUCGUAAUCUUAGGUUAUGCUUGUGCAUAUAAGCCACUUGGUUGACACUAAAUAUGUUUUUGCUAUGGCAUCAAAUAAUUAAUUAAAGGUUUAUAGCUGUUCUGGACAGCAAGGGAGUAAUCUGACCUUUGCUUGAUGAUAACUUGGUUUUUCGAAAGACUUGUUCAAAUCAAAGAUGUUGUAAACUUUGUGAGCUAGCUGCAGCUUAAAUUUGGGAUCAUUUGGUCUGUGAUGUCUAAAGAUGAAAUAUACACAUUUCAUAAGCUUUCCGGAAUGUCCUCAUUCCUGUUUGUUGGAUCUGUAUAGCUUUAGUUAUGAUUGGUUCUUUGAGCUGCCCUGUUAUUUGGUUGUUGCUGUUUAUGGUUUAACUUGAUGAAUCUUGCUAAGUUAGUUAGUCAUCUUUUGUGAGCUUGUAAUGGGAGUCAUUCCGUAAAUGAGUGUCCAGGAAAGUUCUAAUCAUGUUACCAAGCAUUCACCCUCAUCUAGUAUGCACACAUUUCUUACUCAUCGUGCAUGCAAUUGGUGCACCUGAAACGGCAGCCUCGUUCGAGCUAAAUCGGGUGAAGCACGAAGGCCCGGAGAUCACUCNNNNNNNNNNNNNNNNNNNNNNNNNNNNNNNNNNNNNNNNNNNNNNNNNNNNNNNNNNNNNNNNNNNNNNNNNNNNNNNNNNNNNNNNNNNNNNNNNNNNNNNNNNNNNNNNNNNNNNNNNNNNNNNNNNNNNNNNNNNNNNNNNNNNNNNNNNNNNNNNNNNNNNNNNNNNNNNNNNNNNNNNNNNNNNNNNNNNNGCGUAUGGGUGUAUGUUGUGUGGUGUUUGUGUGUUGUGUUCGCUCCCGGGCCUCCCUUUUUAUAGUUCCAAUGAGAAGCCUAGUGUACAAGUAUAGGCGUCAGAGUAGGGGUCGAUAGAGUAUGGCGCGCAGACCUACUCGAGGCCUCCGUACCGGCGUGGUCUCGAGCCGUCCUGUCUCGGUAGCUUGAUGAUGAUUACGCGUGCCCCUGUAUCUUGCUCCGUGCGCCGUCUUGGACUGGUUCCUCGGUUGCACGCCUGUAUGACAUAGCGGCAGAUCCAUUGGAGUGGUUGCUGUGUUGCCAUUCGACGCCCAACCCUUCCCCGAGAAGGAAACGUGUCCGGUCGAGGGUCAGACGCCGUGUAGCGCCUUGCUAUCCAGAGCGUUGACCCUGGAUGUCUCGAGGGGGUCUUGAUUAGACGUUCCAUCCCUGCUUCCCGCAUCCUGACAUGCUCUGGGUUGUUUGGCGGGUAAGGCUGCAGAAAGAAUGACGGGACGGGUGCCUGUUCCCUAUCAUGCUUCCCGUGACUGGCGUGUUAGGUGGGAACGCGACAGGCGCAUUAAAUGCCCUGGUUCCCGCGCGCGCGUCAGGCGGCGGGCGGCGUCCUCACGCUCGACGCCUCCUGGUUCGCUCGAGCCUAUUUCCGUAUUCGACGGUAGUUGGCGCUCGAGCGCUGAUCGAUUCGCUCGACGCCCUUUCCGUUCUUGAGGCCGCGGUCGUUGAUGACUGUAUGCGUGACUGAUUGGGUAGAGCGUCGAGUUGGGGGCCUCGACUUGCGUAGGGGCAAUCUUAUUAUGUGCAUCAGUUAGGACACCCCUUACUGAUACCCUCGACAGUAGCCCCCGAGUCUCCAUUUGAGCGCUCGCGCUCGAGUGGAGGCUGUAUUUUCGUGGUCGAGUUUCCGCGGGGGCGCGCGAGCGACCCCGCGGGGAUAGCCCCAGAGCCCUUCGAGGCGUUUUUGACUCCUUCGAGGGUUAUAUCGCCUAAUUCGCAGAAACGCUGUCAACACCAGUGGUGGAAUGUUCUGAUUGGCUUGGUUUGUGUGGAGGUUUCGACGUACUCUCGAUAGAGCGAGCGUCAUCCACCCCAGAUUGAGCUCCUUACGGGUAGUCCAACUGAGAACCUGUGCCCCUUUCGAGGGGGUUCUUGACGGUUCUUAAGUAUCAAUUUUAAUUAUCAAAUAAACAAGAGAAAGGACCAAUAUGCAACCAACACCUAGAAUUAGGGUUUGAUGUGAAAAAAUUCCAUGAGUUUUGUUGUUUAUCUGUUUCUGCAGGGGGUUAUCAGGAAAUAAGGAAGAAAGGCCCACAUGUCGGGAUUACAUAGAGAUAUCAACACACCGCGCGAUUUUUUACCAUCUCAAAGACUCCAGAAGCCACGGGAAGAAAGCAUAGGCCGAAAGGGGCCAGGCCCAGGGCGCCCGCCUUGAGGACCUGGGCGCCCGCCCACUACUGUACUCCGUUCGGGACUCUCUUCGCACACGAUGUUCCACCAACCUAUUGGAUCAAGGAUAACGUAGUACCACAUCGCCUACCGACCCAAAAAUGCAUAGAGGAGGAGGACUAUAUAAGGAGACCCCCUAGCCCCUGGAGGAGACUAGAAGUUAUCAUAGAGAUUGAGGGGUGCCCUCGAAGGAAAACCUCUUCUCUAAAUAAUAUUUCUUUUUAGGCUUAGCAACCAAUGUAAGUAGAAAUAGAUCUUCUAGUUUCUACUAGAUUGAGAGAGAUAGAGUGGAGGUGUAGAUUGGAGGAAGCCCGACCUGUCGGUGUCUACUCCAAGCUUGUACCUGCGGGAUCAAGUUCUCCUAACCCGAAGCUUGCUCCUAGGAUUCUUCAGUAUUUCGACUUCUAAAUUCUAGUAAGUUCUUGUUUUAUUGUUCUUUUGGCUUAUGAGUUUACUUUAAUCUCUUCGCAUAGAGUUUAGAGUAAUCAUUGCUGGCAUAAACGUGGUGUUUAGGCUGGGGUACUCAUAGAUAUUCCCUGACUAGCUAGACCGUGGUAGUAGUGAGGAACGUGACAAUUCCAAGUUACCUUUGCAGACCUUAUCUCGUUAGCAGGAAGGAUAGGGUUUAUAGGUGCAGGUUCAACAUCCUCUGUGGUGUCUAGAUUCCGUUAGCCUCCCCAAUAGAAUAGUAGAUCAUCCUUGCCAAGGUUCGAAGGAGACUACGGUUGUAGUCUUCUCUAUUUAUCACUCACAUCGAGAAACAUUCUUUGUUGCCUAAAGGGUUAGUAGUAAUAGACCGGUUAGUCAGAUGCACUCUUUCUCCUAGUGGUAAAAAAAUAAAUACGAUACUCUGGAUAACCUCUCGGGUGAAGUGCUCACCGAUAUCCGUGCGCUUGCGGAUCAAUUCCUUAUUGCGUUCCCAAAUAUCAACAAGCAUUUCUGGCGCCGUUGCCGGGGAGAAAGAUGGUUUGCUGAAAUAACCUUGAGUCUUACUACUAGCUUGUAUCUAUACUUUUAUCUUUUCUUAACUUUUAUAUUCUUUAUUUAUUUUCUUUAUUCUUACCUUAUGGAAAACCAAAAUUCUAAAUCGAUCCAUGAAUCUGCAAUCCCUUCAGUAACUGACCUUUUACCAUGGGAAUCAUCACAGCCUAUCCAAACAUCCCAGUAUAAGUUAAGUUCUAGGUUGUUUGCCGUGAUUCAAAACCUAUCUUUUUCGGGAAAGGAAGACGAAAACUCUUACCUUCAUAUUAGAGAUUUUGAGCAAACAUGUGAUUGUCUUCGCAUUGAAGGCAUUUCUGAUAAAACUUUAAGUUGGAAGCUUUUUCCUUUUUCUUUAAGGGGAGAAGCUAGACAGUGGUACAGUCAGAAGGUAAGUCAACAAUGAGGUGAAUGGGGAGUUUUACGAGCCAACUUUUGUCUAGAUUUCUAUUCCCUCGACCAUAUAGCCGACCUUAGACUCGAAGUCCUAUCUUUUAAACAAAAAGAUAAUGAAACUUUGGGAAAAUCCUGGAAACGUUUUUCUGAUCUUUUAGAAUCUGGUCCAAACCUUAAUCUUGAAGACCCUGUUCUUUUAUUUCACUUUUUCGAGGUCUUCAGAAAAAUUACAAACAAAUGCUACACACAAUGUCUAGAGGUUCUUUCUUUCGCAUCCCUACUGAUGAAGCUAGAGUGAUCCUAGAUAGAAUCCAAGAAGCUGAAUGGAUAAUACCCUUCAUGAUGAAACCUACGAAGCCGAAGUAGACACUCUGCCAAAUUCUUCAUCUAAUUUAGCUAUCCCAAGUUCUGAGCCACAAGAGGAAGAAAUUCCACCACCGGACUUCAUGCUGGAUAUAGAAUGUGAUCUUUUUGCAGAUUUUGGAAACAUUUCAAACUACCAUUCUAUUGACAAACCCCAAAACGGCCAGUUUAGCAUUUAUUUGGCAAGUGAAUAUCAAUUGAGAGAGCUUAUCUCAGUCAUGAAAAGCGAAUGGUUGGAGGAAUCAGAGCUUUCCUCUGAUGUGAUCCGUUUGGACACACCCUCUAUAACUAUACGCUGUGCUUAAAAUUCUGAUUGAUUUAAUGCUCUCUAUAAUCCUGUUGUGGGGAUCAACAUCAUGUCUGAAUCUUUUGCACUUAAACUAUUUAAAAAUCUUGUCUUAACCCCCACAACAAAAGUCAUAAAGGAAUCUUCGAGACGAUUAGUCCCCAGUCUUGGAAUUAUUAAUGUCCUACCUCUUACGGUAGAAGGCUCCAUGGUUCAUUUGAACUUUUAUAUCUUUGAUACAUGGGACUUCGACCUGUUGAUAGGACAACCUUUUAGAAGACUCCUUUAUGAAGGUCAUACUGGAAAGCUACACAUUUCUUUUGGAAAAAACCUUUAAAUUCCCAAUAACAAUUUCACACUCCUUAAACAAUAAGGCCGAAUCAUAUCUUUUGCCUGAUCCUAUGGAGGAGGUAAAGGCUGCAUCUCUAGAGCUUUUAGAUGAACCAGACUUAGAAGACGAAACUCCUUUCUUCACAGAAGAAGAAGCCAAACCUUCUGAACCUGAACCCUUAGAUGAGUUUGCAGAAACACCUAGACCCCCCAUAGAGCUUAAAACUUUACCACCCGGUCUUACCUAUGCUUUCCUAAACAAUAAUCUAGAGUUUCCUAUGAUCAUUAGUGAUAAACUCACUCAGGAGCAAACUCUGCGAUUAAUGACCAUUCUUGAGAAACAUCACUCAGUUUUCGGCUACUCACUCCAAGAUCUUACAGGAAUCAGUCCUAUGAUUUGUACCCAUCGUAUUCCAACAGACCCUUCUGUUUCACCUUCUCGAGAACCCCAACGUAGACUUAAUAACACUAUGAGAGAGGUAGUUAAAAAGGAAGUUAUAAAGUUGCUGCAUGCAGGGAUUAUAUAUCCCGUGCCGCAUAGUGAGUGGGUGAGCCAAGUGCAAGUUGUGCCUAAAAAAAGAGGCAUGACUGUUAUUAUGAAUGAAAAGAACGAGCUAAUUCCGCAAUGCACCGUCACAGGAUGGCGGAUGUGCAUAGACUAUAGAAAACUAAACAAAGCCACGAGAAAGGAUCACUUUCCUUUACCUUUCAUAGAUGAGAUGCUAGAGCAGUUAGCAAACCAUUCGUUCUUCUGUUUCUUAGAUGGAUAUUCAGGGUAUCACCAGAUCCCGAUCCAUCCCGGUGAUCAAAGCAAAACCACUUUUACAUGCCCAUAUGGAACUUAUGCUUACCGUAGAAUGUCUUUUGGGUUAUGUAAUUCACCAGCUUAUUUUCAAAGAUGCAUGAUGUCUAUAUUUUCUGAUAUGGUUGAAGAGAUUAUGGAAGUUUUCAUGGAUGAUUUCUCUGUUUAUGGAAAAACUUUUGAUAGUUGUCUUGAAAACUUAGACAAGGUUUUGCAAAGAUGUUACGAAAAGCACUUAGUCCUUAAUUAGGAAAAAUGUCAUUUUAUGGUUAGAGAAGGAAUAGUGCUGGGACACCUAGUGUCUGAAAGAGGUAUUGAGGUAGAUAAAGCUAAAAUUGAAGUAAUUGAACAACUACCUCCACCUGUGAAUAUAAAAGGAAUUCGAAGCUUUCUUGGCCAUGCUGGUUUUUAUCGUAGAUUCAUAAAAGAUUUUUCAUUUAUUCCUAGACCACUUACUCUUUUGCUAGCCAAGGAUGCUCCUUUCGAAUUUGAUGAUGCAUGUCUAACAUCUUUCAACUUAUUAAAGAAAGCACUCAUCUCCGCACCAAUCAUUCAACCCCCUGAUUGGUCGUUGCCUUUUGAAAUUAUGUGUGAUGCUAGUGAUUAUGCUGUGGGGGCAGUUUUGGGACAAACUAAAAAUAAGAAGCAUCAUGCAAUUGCUUAUGCCAGUAAAACUUUGACAGGAGCUCAACUUAAUUAUGCAACCACUGAAAAAGAGCUUCUGGCUGUUGUCUUUGCCAUUGAUAAAUUUAGAUCUUAUUUAGUUGGUGCUAAAAUAAUUGUUUGCACUGAUCAUGCUGCACUAAAAUAUUUGCUCACUAAAAAAGAUGCUAAACCUCGCCUGAUUAGAUGGAUCUUAUUACUCCAAGAAUUUGACUUAGAAAUAAAAGAUAAAAAGGGAGUAGAAAAUUCUGUUGCUGAUCACUUGUCUAGAAUGUAUUUUAAGAGUCCACAGGAAACCCGCAUCAAUGAUUCACUCCGGGACGACAUGCUCUACGGGAUUAACAGGUCUGACCCCUGGUAUGAAGAUAUUGUAAAUUUUAUGGUUUCAGGGUAUGUACCGCUAGGAGCAAACAAGAAGAAGCUUAUUCAAGAAAGUCGUUCACAUAUAUGGGAUGAGCCAUACCUCUUCCGAGAAUGCUCUGAUGGCUUACUCAGGAGAUGUGUCACCACUGAGGAAGGAUGGAAGAUCAUCGACAUAUGUCAUUCAUCACCAUAUGGAGGUCACUAUGGAGCAUUCCGUACACAUUCAAAGAUCUGGCAGUGUGGAUUCUACUGGCCUACAAUGUAUGAUGACACAAAGCAAUACAUCAGAAGAUGUGGGCCAUGUCAAAGGCACGGAAACAUAAAUACAAGGGACGCAAUGCCACUCACCAACAACCUUCAGAUUGAGCUCUUUGAUUUCUGGGGAAUAGACUAUAUGGGUCCAUUUCCUCCAUCAAAGAAGUGUGAGUACAUCUUGGUGGCAGUUGACUAUGUCUCCAAGUGGGUAGAGGCAUUACCUUGCAAGCAUGCCGACAACAUCAGUUCAAAGAGGAUGUUUGAAGAAAUUAUAUUUCCAAGAUUUGGAGUCCCCAGAGUAGUGAUAAGUGAUGGAGGAGCACACUUCAUCGACAAACGCUUCAAGCAAUAUCUAUCAAAACAUGGAAUCCAUCACAACGUCGCUAUCCCCUAUCAUCCUCAGACAAGUGGCCAAGUAGAGACUUCCAACAAACAAAUCAAGAAUAUUCUUCAGAAGACAGUAAAUGAAAUGGGAACGGCGUGGAAAGACAAGUUACCCGAUGCACUCUGGGCAUACCGGACAACAUACAAGACCCGAAUUGGAAUGUCUCCAUACCAAUUGGUGUACGGAAGACUUGUCAUCUACCCGUUGAACUAGAGUUCAAAGCACACUGGGCCAUAAAGACAUGGAAUAGGACCUAGAUGUUGCUGGAGAUUAUAGAAGAAUGCAACUAUUAGAAUUGGAAGAAUGGCGAGAGAAGGCAUAUCACAACUCAAAGAUCUACAAAGAAAGAGUCAAAAGGUGGCAUGACAAGAGAAUCAAGAAGAAGGAGUUCACACUCGGAGAUAAGGUAUUACUUUUUAAUUCUAGGGUGAAGCUUUUCGGGCAUGGAAAACUCUGGAGCAAAUGGGAAGGACCAUUCAAGGUAAUUAAUUCAUCAUCCCACGGAGCUAUCACACUUCAAAAUGAAGAAGGUACGUUAUUCAAGGUAAAUGGUCAAUGUCUUAAAUUAUUUUUAGAGCCCAAUAAAGAAUUAGAAGAAAUAGACGUAGUCCAUUUUUACCUUCCCAUAGAGAAUUAGAGCCCGACCUUUUUAGUCUCAUGUUUUUGGGUCAUAUAUACAUUUUUCUAAAUAGUUUUGCAUCCAGUAACGCGCUCGAGAAUGUGGGCCCAUAGAGGGGCCAGAGAGAGGGCGGGCACCCAGCUCCUGUUCCCCUCGGUCCUGAUUUUCUCUGUUAUGGAAAAUGCACUUAUGGUAAUCCGAAUAAUCCCUCAGAUGGAAAGUUUCGCACGCACAUCGACGGGAGCAACCCGAACAACCCAUAGAGGCACUUUUUGACCCCUAUAUAAACAGACCCCUAACCUCAGUUUUCAAACACCAAACCACCAAGCCUUCACUUCUUCAAUUAGAGCUUGAUUAGUUCCUUGCUGCUCCAAUGGCCGAGAAGUACCACGAUGAUUGGGAAGUCAUCCCCUUCAACCUCAACAUGGAGCCUAUGGAAGAUCCCGAUGCCCGUGCUCUCGUCCCGGCCAACACAGAGCGACAGCUAGAAGCCAUGCCAUUAUGCCAGCGCAGCUCCGCCCAAUCCUACAAUGCUCAACCAGUUCUCACCGCACUGCCACAACCCCUACUCCUCAAGGGAUCAUCAUCCAAGACGAAGACCACCAUCAAGGUGCCAACCGGCAUGAAGAUCCUUCCACCUAGACCCAAUGAGAGGGUCGUUGGAGUCAAGACCAACCGGAGCGGCGAGAUCAGCAGUAUUCGCUACACUACGGAGGAGGAAAGGCCUUACUUCGAAGGGAUUAGAGCAGCCAAAGUCCAUUUCAUCCCUCCAAAGGCAGCCCCGAAGCACGCUCUCAAUGCUUUUGAGACACCUCCCAAACGUCGCAAGACUAUAAUGGAUAUUGAUGAGGACGUUCGCAGACUAGACAGAGUUAUCAUAGACCUUAAGUCCUCGAUUAAUUCCCUCACUAGGCAGCUCCCUAACCACAACACCAUUAUACUAGGCCUUAGGCAGGAUCUUGCCAGUGCCAACAAGAAGAUUAAGGAAUUAGAGCGCCGCUAAGUUAUCUAGAUUAGACCUUGAGGCAAUACAUCUUAGUCAUCUAUCUUUAAAUUCAGUUUAGGUUUACUAUUAUUGUCAGUUUGUUACUAUUAUCUUUAGUUUGCUACUAUCGUCAGUUUGCUACUAGUCUUUUGUAAUAAAUGCCUCAAGAUUAAUAAAGAGUAUUAUUAUUAUUAUGUCUUGUGUGUCUCUACUUUUUUUUUGUGCAAGAAAGCAGAAAACAAGUAUGGGGGAGAUCCCUCAACAUGCCAAACACACUACGACUACACCACUCCACGAGUCAGGUACACACUCUGCACACUUUACUUUACACAUACACAUAUCUUGGAUUAUACAGAAUACUGUCUCCGACAUGAUAAGCUUAAAUGUUUCUAAAUAUGAUUAAUCUCACUCUGUGAUAUUUCCUAAAACUUAUAACUAUUAUAAAAUCAUUUUAAAAACCCUGUGUUACUUAAGUCAUUGUGGACUGUGAGAUGGUAGAGUAUGGGUUUCUUAUUCUUGAUAUCAUUGUUGCUUGGAGAAUUUAUUUCAAAAUCUUCAAAAUUCUAGCUACCAUCCUCAGUGUUUUAUAUGCCUGAUAAAACUGAAAAUAUUUAUUAUGAUUAUAAAAGCUAUCUACUUUGUAUUGAGUUUAUUCAAAAUGAGUUAGACCCUUGUUGAGAGAUUUAUCAUGCUCCUAAGACCAAGACAUUUAUUUAGAAAGAUUCACUCUUCCGAAGUAUUAUUGCAUUAGAGGCAUGGGCUAUGCAAAAAUAGAGAUAUUUCGAGGAAAUACAAAGGAGCAAGUGCUCGACAGCCUCACAGAAAAAAAUGGACAAGUGUCCAGCAGUAGAAUUAGGGGUACCUCGGUAUCCACUUAGAAAAAAGAAAGAAAAUCAUAGCCCAUGGUCCCUCUAAUAAGCAAUAUGCCAGCAAGAGUUGACAAAGUUUUUAAUUUCCAAAGUCUUUGAUCUAAGAGUAUGACAUUCCCCUCCUCGGAUCCUGUUUUGAUCAGGCAAUAAAUGCAAAGUAAGUAUGCUUAGAAUUUUUGCAAAUUAAAACAGCCUCAGUAAGAUAUAUAAAAGAUAAUGAGUGAUAUGAGAGAACCUAUGAGGAUAAAAGGUAUGCUAACUUUCUUUCAAAAAUAUACAAGAACUCCAAGUGACAGGAUUGAGAAGAAAGGAUCUUUACUCCUAACCAUAUACUUCUCUGACUAUAGUACACAAUGGAAUUUUAACACCCUGCAGUUAUGAAAAGAAUAUUUUAAAAUGUUUUACCCCAAAUAUUGUUCUUAACCAUCCUUUUCUUGAGGACGAGUAAAAGCCUAAGUAUGGCGGUAUUUGUUGAUGGUUCUUAAGUAUCAAUUUUAAUUAUCAAAUAAACAAGAGAAAGGACCAAUAUGCAACCAACACCUAGAAUUAGGGUUUGAUCUGACAAAAUUCCACGAGUUUUGUUGUUUAUCUGUUUCUGCAGGGGGUUAUCAGGAAAUAAGGAAGGCCCACAUGUCGGGAUUACAUAGAGAUAUCAACGCACCGCGUGAUUUUCUACCAUCUAGAAGACUCUAGAAGCCACGGGAAGAAAGCAGAGGCCGAAAGGGGCUAGGCCUAGGGCGCCCGACCUGAGGACCUGGGCGCCCGCCCCCUCCUAUACUCCGUUCGGGACUCUCUUCGCACACGAUGUUCCACCGACCUAUUGGAUCAAGGAUAACGUAGUACCACAUCGCCUACCGACCCAAAAAUGCAUAGAGGAGGAGGACUAUAUAAGGAGACCCCCCUAGCCCCUGGAGGAGACAAGAAGUUAUCAUAGAGAUUGAGGGGUGCCCUCGAAGGAAAACCUCUUCUCUAAAUAAUAUUUCUUUUUAUACUUAGCAACCAAUGUAAGUAGAAAUAGAUCUUCUAGUUUCUACUAGAUUGAGAGAGAUAGAGUGGUGGUGUAGAUUGGAGGAAGCCCGGCCUGUCGGUGUCUACUCCAAGCUUGUACCUACGGGAUCAAGUUCUCCUAACCCGAAGCUUGCUCCUAGGAUUCUUCAGUAUUUCGACUUCUAAAUUCUAGUAAGUUCUUGUUUUAUUGUUCUUUUGGUUUAUGAGUUUACUUUAAUCUCUUCACGUAGAGUUUAGAGUAAUCAUUGCUAGCGUAAACAUGGUGUUUAGGCUGGGGUACUCAUAGAUAUUCCCUAACUAGCUAGACCGUGGUAGUAGUGAGGAACGUGACAAUUCCAAGUUACCUUUGCAGACCAUAUCUCGUUAGCAGGAAGGAUAGGGUUUAUAGGUGCGGGUUGAACAUCCUCUGUGGUGUCUAGAUUCCGUUAGCCUCCCCAAUAGAACAGUAGAUCAUCCUUACCAAGGUUAGAAGGAGACUACGGUUGCAGUCUUCUCUAUUUAUCACUCACAUCGAGAAACAUUCUUUGUUGCCUAAAGGGUUAGUAGUAAUAGACCGGUUAGUCAGAUGCACUCUUUCUCCUAGUGGUAAAAAAAUAAAUACGAUACUCUGGAUAACCUCCCGGGUGAAGUGCUCACCGAUAUCCGUGCGCUUGCAGAUCAAUUCCUUAUUGUGUUCCCAAAUAUCAACAGGGGUCAGCUGUAGCCCGGAGGCGUUCUCAUAAAGCGGGGUUGACGUGGUCAGGGAUGCUGGUCUCGAACGAUAGAGUCCAGUGGCUCGAUGCCUCCCGUCGGGGGGAUUCCUCUCGACUGUCUCGACCCUACCUCGGACAUCCCCAGCAAGUUCGCGAGGUGGGCCUCGAUUUUUGACCACUCGCUGGGGAUCCCUGACUUCGGUGCUCAAGAUCGGCUGUCGAACCCUUUUGGCGGGUCAGCCUGUGACCUCUCGAGGCUUUUGUGGGUGCGUUCCUUGGCUUACAAGGGAAGGAAGAGGCCAUGGCAGUUCGCCUUUUUGCCCGUUGAGCGCGCCUUUCAGGCGGAAGCCGUUGCGACACUGUACCGGCGCAAAAUUCCGAGAGCCCCGUCUGUGAGGAGGAAAAAGACCGUUAGGCGGCGCAUUUAUGGGGAGAGUUACCUCAUUUAUCGGAUCUGUCCGUUGGUGGGUUGCUGCCUAUAAAUAUCCUGUGGCAUCACCGCCGUUCUCCCUUCCGCCUUCUGUCAUCAUCCUUGCCUUAGCCCUCUCGCCGUCUUAGCUCUCUUACCGUCUCACGCGCGCGCACACCCUCGAGUAGUAGCGAAUCCGCCCUCCUUCCGUUCAAGAUGCCUGUGAGACUUGUCGCCGCCGACGACUAGCGCCCGUCGUCGAUGACGGAACGCCGGCUGCUGGAGCUUGAGAGGGAGGGACUCUUGCUCCGCCGCACAUCGCUGUCGUCGCCGGAGUGGAUCGCGCUGCCAGCGGACCACAGGGAGCCCAAGCCGCCCAAGGGCUACGUGGUUUCGUUCGCCAAGUUCCACCGCCACGGCCUGGGCGCUCCUCCGAGCCGCUUCAUGCGGGCGCUCUGCCACCAUUACGGGGUGGUGCUCCAGCACUUCUCCCCAAAUGCCAUCACCGUCGCGGCGGUCUUUGCCGCGGUGUCUGAAGGUUAUUUGGGGAUGAUGCCCCACUAGGAGCUGUGGCUCCACCUCUACAGGGGCGAGCUCUUCAACGCCCCCGCUGGAGCUGCCGGAGUGAGGAAACCCAUGCGGGCCGGGUGCCGGAACCUGGUGCUGAAGACGGGGAAGACGGAGAGGCCACGGGAGUACAUCCCGGUGGGGUUAUCAUCGAACCACGCCGGACGGGACUCCCAGUGGUUCUAUCUACGGAACGACGUCGGUCUUCUCCCUGCCUACACCGGCCACCUGAUUACAGAGCGCCCGGAGAACUGGACGUACGGCGUCGUCCAGGUCCACCAGUCGCGGCUCGACCCCCUCCUCGACGCCUUGAAGAAGCUGCGUGUGGAGGGCCUGUCUGCUGCUCUCGUCCUCUCGGCUGUUUAUCAUCGGAGAGUUCUCCCGCUGAUGUCUCGGCCGCUGAGGAUGGAUGAGAUGGGGCCCGGCGCUUCGUCCCGGGACCUCGAGGCGUGCUGGAUGUCCAACGAGGCUCCGACGAACGAUGAGGUCGUGGCCCGGGUCAGGGCAGCCGUUGCCGGUGACUUCCAGCCGAAGCACGUCAAUGGCUUCCCCAUGAGGCCCGACGCGGGCUCGAUCGACCUGGUACGUUGGGGCUCCUGUCGGGCGUUUUAAACAACGGGCUCGGACCAGCCUACUUUGUAAGUAUUAUUCAGUCUUUCAAUCUUUAUGGAACUUGUUGGUUUUGUGUUCGAACUGCUCGAUCACCGGCUCGCAGGACCUGAAAGAGACCUCUCGCAUUAAGUCAAGCUUCAUUCACGCCAUGAGAGGCGGCUGGAAGCAGCUCCCCAUCCUCAAGGACCAACUCCUGGAGUCACAGGAGAAACUCCUCAAGGCUUAUAAAGAGAUCUGGGCGCUCGAGGAGGAGAAGAAGGAGAGGGAGGCUGCCCUAGCCGAGGCUCGAGAGGCCUCAAGGAAGGUGGCGGAAGAGGCUGUGCUGCUGAGGGAGCGGGCUCUGACGGUCGAGGAGGCUGCGUCUAAAGCACGGGAGGAGGCCCUGUCCUACAAGAACGUCGUUGCUGACCUGGACAAGGAGAAGGGCCUCCUCAAGACUGACCUGGACUCCCUCUGAAACUCCUUCCAGAGGAUGAAGGUGGAGUAUGUGAACAGCAAGGUCGCCAGGAGUGCCACGGAGGAGGCAAAGAAGAAGGCCCUUGAAGACCUCGAGGCGGAGCGGGCUCGAUCCCGCAGCCUCUCUGACGACGUUGAUCGUCUGAAGAGGGCGCUGCUGGAGAAGGAAGGAGCCAUCACGCAGGCCGGCAAGGCGAUCGAGGAUCUGCGCGUCGCCAACACCGAGCUGGCGCGCUCCAAUAGGGAGGUCGAGAGGGCCAACACCAAUUUGGUUGGCGAAAACAUGGCUCUGGAGGAGAGCAUCCGUGGUAUGUUUUCUAUUGUCGAGUUUCUUUUCUGAGGCAUGUUUGGUGUUAUCUAAUCUACUCACGUUGAUUCUCGUAGGGCUCAAGGACGAGCUGCUGGCUACCCAAGUCGAGGCCCGCUCCAUCAAGACCCAGCUCGAGGGGGAGGUCGCCUUGAACGGUCGUCUAAGGACUGCGAUAAGCGACCUCUCGGCCUCCUGGGAGCUCGAGCCUGUUGAGGAGUCGAGGGAGGAGGCUCGGGGCGACGCACUCGUUGACCAGCUAUGCUAUCUUGGAGCUAUGCUUAGGGACCGGGUGCGGGACGCCCUCCACGUUGGAGUGAAGCAGGCGAUGGCGGUAGUCUGCUCAGGCUUAUCCUACGACAUGGAGGUGGUGUCCCAUGGCUUUGUUACCGACAUCUCCAAGACUGACGCGGAGAACGAGGAGAGGCUCCAUGCCUUGAUCGAUGACGCAAAGGUUCCUGGAGAGAGGUUGGCUAAGCUAUUCGAGCCAGAGGUACUUCCUCCUAAGACUAGCUUAGGCGCGGGUGAGGAUGGUGAGGGCCGAGACGCAGACUGAGGCCUGCGAGCCUACUCUGGGUGCCUGGGCCCCUUGUAUAGUACUCUGGUAUUUAAGUAAUAUCUUUUAAGUGGUUUUCAAAUGUUUAUCUGUCUUUCCGCUCGAGGCUCUUUUAUUUCUCUUUGCGCCUAUAUUUGUAUUCCUCGUUUGAUCUUUCGUUUAAGGCGAUCUCGGUUGCCUCAAGGGUGAGGAAGCGAGUAGAGUUUCCGUAGCCCGGGGGCGUAGGAGUUCUCAGGCUCAUCGUCUCUCGGCCCUUAAGGGGCUUGAGGUGCCUCUACUACUCGACCAUGCGAGAUUACUGAUAGGAAAGAAAGGGUUACUUGGCUUUUUCGACGCUUGGGGGGGUCACCCCCUGCUAGCCCCUGAGGGGUAGCGACUAUGAUGGGUCAUAGUAACGUCGAGAUUUUGACUCGUAAAAAAGUAAAUUGCUCGAGGGAAAGACUUUAUUUAUUCAUCCAUUUGUUUACAAAGCCUUGGUAUAGAAUGUACAUGGGAACAUAAAUCUUUGAAAAUCUAGGGGUAGAAUCGACAUAGUUGUUCGAUGUUCCACGCGUUGGUGAAGAUCGCCCCCCUUUCGUCCACGAGCUUGUAUGUCCCCGGCUUCAAGACCUCGGCCACUACGUAUGGGCCCUCCCAAGGUGGAGUCAGCUUGUGGCGUCCUUGAUUGCUUUGCCGCCGUCGUAGGACGCGGUCGCCCACGUUCAAAUCCCUUUUGCGCACAUGCUUGUCGUGCUAGCGUCGAAGUUUCUGUUGGUAUGUUGCAGAGUUGAGGAGGGCCAUGUCUCGAGCUUCCUCGAGUUGGUCGACCGCAUUCUCUUGAGUCUCUUUAUUUGAUUGCUCAUUGUAUGCUUUGAGUCGAGGGGACCCAUACUCGAGGUCUGUUUUGAGCACAGCCUCAGAGCCAUAGACCAUGAAGAAUGGGGUGUAUUUUGUAGCCCUGCUCGGCAUCGUCCUUAAGCUCCAUAGGACCGAGGAAAGCUCCUCGACCCAUUUGUUGCCAAAUUUCUUCAAGCGAUUGUAAAUCCUUGGUUUGAGCCCCUGCAAAAUCAUGCCAUUGGCACGCUCGACCUGGCCGUUAGUUCGAGGGUGGGCCACUGUAGACCAGUUCACACGGAUGUGAUGCUGAUCGCAGAAGUCCAAGAACUUUUUGCCGGUGAACUGAGUGCCGUUGUCGGUGAUGAUGACGUUGGGGAUCCCAAACCGGUGGAUGAUGUUGGUGAAGAAAAGCACGGCCUGCUUGGAGCGGAUGUUGGUGAUGGGUCGAGCCUCGAUCCAUUUGGAGAAUUUGUCGAUGGCCACCAACAAGUGGGUGUGCCCCCCUUUUGCCUUCUGUAGAGGCCCUACUAAGUCGAGCCCCCAUACCGCAAACGGCCAUGUGAUAGGGAUCAUCUGGAGAGCGUGGGCAGGUAGGUGCAUCUGUUUGGCAUAGAAUUGGCACCCAUGGCAUGAGCGUACGAGCUCGAUGGCAUCAGCUAUGGCCCUUGGCCAGUAGAAGCCUUGUCGGAAGGUGUUCCCUACGAGGGUCCGAGGAGCAGCGUGGUGGCCACAAGCCCCCGAGUGUAGAUCCUCGAGGAGUUUUCGGCCUUCUUCUAUGGUGAUGCAACGCUGCAAGACCCCCGUCGGGCUUCAUCGAUAUAGCUCUUUGUCCUCGCCGUAGAUUACAUAUGAUUUAGCCCGUCGAGCAAUACGGCGGGCCUCGGAUCGAUCUUCUGGUAGCUCGCAGCGGAUUAGGCAGUCGAGGAAUGGUGUGCGCCAGUCGAACGGUCGACCGAGACACUGCUCCACCUCCAUUACCUCAGCUGCCAUUAGUAGCGCGUCGACGGUGUCAGUUUGCUGGGCAGGAGCGGCUUCGACGCCAACCCCCGAGCCCAAGUCGAAUGAUGGCUCGUGAAGAUCUCUCGAGAACGCGUCAGGCGGUACCGUGCCUCGAGUCGACGCGAUCUUGGCGUGUUCGUCGGCCGCCUCGUUGUUGUAACACCCCAGUGUUAUGGUUGCAUCAAGCAUGUGCAUAGCAUGAGCAUCAUCAUUUACUCAAAGCAUAUCAUGAUCAUCAUCUAUCUUGAGCCAUGUCAUUCUAUGCAAAAAUGUGUUUUAAAUUGCUUAAAUAGGCUUCCUAUGCUUAUGUUUGAGUGAACAAUGCUUGUGUUUGUGCUUAAUGCCUUGGUAAUUAGUUUAUCUAUGCUUAACUUAAUCUUGGGAACAAUGUUCAUGUUGAUCACUUUUCCAAAAUAUGCUUUUAGGUCAUACUUAUGAAAAUAGACCCUAGAAACCUCUUUUGCUUAGGCUUUUAAAAAGUGUUUCAUAAAAUGUUUGCAUGUCAAAACUUUCUACAGCAAAGUUGUAGCAAAUUUUAUAAGGAACAAAAGUUGUUUUAUGGCCAUCUCAUGAAAAUGAUCACAAAUAGCUCAAAAGUGACCUACAAGGCAGAUUUAGGGCUGUUUUCAACACUUAGAAAAUUUUCUAAGUCUUGGAACGAAACCAGUUUGCAUGAUUGAUUGUGAAAACUACAUAACUCUCAAUCCAAGCCGAUCUAGCUCUUGCUCCAGUUGACAAAGUUGUAGAUCUCGCUUAGUUCUCCAAGUUUGUCAACUACGCCAUCUUCUAAUUCGCUCUGGUUUGGGAGAUAAUCGCCGGUGAAGUGGCUCUGUCACACCAGCACCCUUUCUUCUGAAUCGAGCCUGAGCUCGUCGACGUGGCCGACCGCCGGCAGAGCUCCGUCGCCAUUUGUCGACCGCACGCCGCUCCUGGCCCCGCUUGUCAGCCCUCGUCACGUGCAUGACCUCCACGGCGACGUCCCGAGCGAAGUGGACGCGUCCACUCGCUCUGCCUCGCCCUCCUUCGCCUGAAACUCGCCCGCAGCGAGCUCUCCGCCGCGAGCUCUCUCCAGCGAGCUCGUGUGCGCUCCUCACUGCGCCUCCGUCCACCAAACUCCACCCAAAGCUCCGCCGUGAGCCGCUCUCCAAGCUCCACCCUCUAACUCGCCGAGAAACCCACCGGUGAGCCGACAUUCCCUUCUUCCCCCAAAUCGGUUCGUCGUGACCUUCUUCUCCGGCGAACUCAAUGCCGAGCGUUGUGAGGCUUCUCAUCGUCUUUGGUUAGGUCCUAGAGGUAGCUUAGGUCCUUAGCGAGCUUUUGCGCCACCUGGUGGACGCUCUACCGGGUUCUCCGUCGCCGGACACGGUGCGCAGCGCCGCCGUGCUUCCGCCGGAGUUGGGUGCUCUCGUGGCCAGCGCGUUCCACGGGGAUCCAGGCCAAGCCGCGCACCUAGGAAGCUUCGCCGUAGUCCGCUGGUGCUGUAGAAGGCCUUAGGUCGCGCUCUACCGGCCUGAGGGCUCCGGCGUAACGCCGAGCACCUCCGCCGAGCCGCCAUUGUCGACGGCGAGCCUCUUCCGGUGGCUCCGCCGUGGGAAAAGUGGGGUCAAUCGAGUCGUUAGGGUUUGGGGAUCACGCUGGUGCCCUUGGCUUGGCCGGAGACCUCGCCGUCGCGGAGAAAUCGCCGGCGAAAUUCGCCUCGGCCGCGAGGAAGAAGAGCCUGACAGAUGGGACCCACUGUCAGCGACUCUCUCUUUCCCUCCUUUUCUUUUAUUCAAAAUCCUGAUUUUUGGCUUUCUUGCAAAAAUCAUAUCUCCGGUUUCUGAGAUCCAAAAAUUGUGAAACAAAUUUUUGUGGAGUUUCUUGAGAUGGCUACUAUUUAAUAAAAAUAUAAAAUGAAUCAUGUUUUCUGAGAAAUCAUUUAUUAAGGAUUUAUUCUUGUUAUUUAUGGAAAAAUGCAUAUCUCUUGUUAUACUGCUUAGUUUGCAUUAAAAAUUUUAUGGUAGCCUUUGCAUGGCAUUAGAGUGCUCUGAUAAUUAUUUCAUGAUUUUUAGAGCAAUGCAGUUGGGAUACGUAAUUUGUGUUUGAGAUAUGGCUUGUUUCUUUAAAUAAAUCAUAUAAAAUAAUUGGUGCUUAUGCUGAUGUUCUACUUUGGUGGUAAGUUUGUUUAUGGUACUCCUAAGAUGUAAAUAAUCUGAAAUCUGUUGUUGAACACCAUAUAAGUAUUGUUUCUAAAUUUAUGAAAUAAAUGCCUUGAUACGUGUUAAAUACAUAUCUUUAUUUUGGUAUGUGCAAUUGCUGUGAAAUUUUUAUGGUGAUACUUUGAUGGUGUCCUUGUGCUUCUGUAAUUUUUGUAGAUUUUUCUGAGCAUUUGAACUAGUAUCUUGUAAUUAUGCUCUUAUUUAGAGUUAAUUAAUAAAUGCCUUGUUAAAUAAAUGUUUUGGGGUUUCCAUCUGAUGAUCUGGUAACCUUGUAAUAUGUUUGUGCUCAUAGGCCAUGUGGUUGGCAUGGUUUGUGUCUUGAUCAUGUCAUUAAAUAAUUAACUAUAGGGUUAAAUGCUGUUCUGGACAGCAAGGUAGCAAUUUGGUUAUUACUUAAUGAUAACUUGACUUUCUGUGGAACUUGUUUAAAGCAAAGAUGUUCCACAACUUGUUGAACUAACUAUGGUUUAAAUUUGAGGUCGUUUGGCCAAGUAGUUUAAAAGUUAUAGCUGUUUCAAGUUGGGUUCCAGGAAUAGGUGUUCUCUGUUUUUCUGGGACAGAACCUGGAACUUUGUUUAAAUGACCAGUCUCAUGUAUGAAUCUUGCUGUCAUGUUUAAAGAUUAAUUGUAGACAAUUUAAUAAGCUUUCCAGAAUGUCCUUACUCAUGUUUGUUGGACUUGCCUAUCUUUAGUUAUGAUUUAUUUACUGAGCCUCUCUGUUUGUGUGUUUGCUGCCUUAGUGUCUUGAAAGGUUUUGGGUUAUGUUAACUUGUUCAAUUAUGCGAGUUAGUAUAACUUUUGUCCGUAAAUGAGUGUCCAGUGAGUUGCUUGUGUCAUUAAGCAUUCAUCGUUAGCAUGUGCAUUAUCUUAUCGUUCGAGCAUGCAAUAGGUGCACCGGACGUGGCAGUUUCCUUCGAGCUCCAAGCGAAUCCCGAAGGUCAGGAAUGCAGCCAGGAGGUGGAGGUCCAGCAAGCCGGGUAGAAGUCGGGUGAUAUCCUGUCAUCCGCGCGAUAUAGGGUUAUGUCGGAUCAUGAUGGUCUAUAUGUGCUAUCGUGGAUGGAACCUGAUUAAAGUGACUUAAGCCGGGCGGAGUUUUGCAAGUUUGUAGUAACUCCGUCUGUGGCAGCUAAGGACUGAUCGUUGUACGUCCUCUUGUCAUGAUGAACGCAUGUCUAACACUUAGUUGGCCGGAUAACUCGUUCCGACCGCGAAGCCGAGUAGUAUGACUCAGGCCGGAAGACCGGCAAGUAUAAAGUGCGCACUACCGGAGGAAGUGCGGUGUGCGGGGGACCAUUGGCGUAAGUCCAAAGGCAGGUGAGUUAAAAUUCCUGACCUCCCUGGCAGAGUGGUAGCCCUGGGAGUGCGGCGCUGAUCGGAACCGCGAUUUCUGAGUUGUACCAAAGGUGACCCGUGGGCUCUCCGGCAGGGGAUGCCUGGGUGAGUGCUAGGAAUAAUCCUCCAGCUGGAUAGGAAUUCGAUUCGAAUCGCCGUCUCUCCCGGUUAGUGAGAACUUGACAGAGCAGCGGCAAACGUAGCAUUCACUAAUGAAUUUGGUUCAUGAUAAUGAUGAUAGCAAGAAGAACAUAUGAUGAAUUUGAUAUGGUUAUUAUUGUUUGUAAUAAUCAAGUGAUGUGUUGUAGUACAGGUGCUAAUCUAGUGGUAGGCUGAUGAUAAAUAAAUAUGAUGCUCUUAAAAUAACUUAGUUGUAAGUUAAGCUUUUGGCAAAAGGUGAGUCAACCAACUCCACCUAAGAUUUAGCCUUGCAUGAUCCUUGGUGUCUUUUGUGUUUUACUAGACGGGUAAGUCUAGCUGAGUACAUCCUCGUACUCAGGGUUUAUUCCCACCUGUUGCAGAUGAUAUCUUCUAUGACGGUUUCUGCAAGACCUGUCUCCAUCCCGCUGGGGAUGAGGACUAACCGUUGGGCACGGUUCUCUACUCUUCUCGUCUAUGAUGCUUUUGGAAGGAUGGCAUAGACUCUAGCAGUAACAAAACUUGUGAACUGAACUUUGAACAAGUGUGUGUAACUAUUUUGCUUCCGCUACUUCAAACUUGGGUUGUAAUAACUUAAUGACUCCGAUGUGGUGCCGCUUCAUCGGCAAUGACUGACUAUGUAACAUUCGUUGUGUUUAUGUUGAACUAUUACGAUCUUGGUUUGUUGCGAGUUGGUUUGAGGUCCUUCGUGAAUUCGAUUGACUACCGGGAUUAUAUGGGCUCAAGUUUAGAAACUUGAUUGUUUCACGAUCGUUUCUGCACUUGAACUCUUAUAAUUUGGUCGGUUCUGUGACAGCUGGCAUCGGAGCAAGUUCAGCAUUAUAAAUGCAGCGUUUGUGUAUUUAAAACAAAAGAGUUUUAAAUAAAAUACUGUAAAACAAAUAAUUAAGUUAUGCCAGUGGUCGAAUCCUCCUUGCCCACAUAAGGACUAUAGGUGGUUGUUUAAGUACUGACUUGGGGGGGGUUUAUUUAUGCAUCUCCGGCAGUACUCGGGUAUGGAUGUGUGAUGACCGCACUAUGCUACCCUAUGGUCUAAUGGUGGAGGUAGCCUUCAUAUGUGAAUUAGCCACAUAUGUUGCUAGAUUUAAAUUAUGUAACGUCGCACCUACGCUCGGGUAAGUGUGAGCUGUGAGAGCAUGAUCGUCCAAACGGCGGUCUAGGGGAGUGUUCGCGGUGGUUUUCUGGAAUGGUUACAUGUCGAAACCAUGAAACCAUGAAAGAAACUUAAUUGGGGAGCAUUUAAUUUCUCGGGUAGUUGUGGUGUCAUUGUUUGGGGCAUGUUGGGCAUGUCCGAGCAAUGUGCACUUAGUUUACUGCUUUCUUGAGUGAUAUAUAUUGGGAACUGUUGGGCUGAAAUGAAGUUUUCUGCAGGUACUCUAACAGCGCACGUGUAAACCGAUAGUUACCGUAUUGAGAGACGAAUGUAUGCCACCGUAUAUCCGUUAGAAUAUUAAUUUUCUAAGUUUGUGAGGACGUACGGUUCGUGCAUGCAUCAUGUCGCAUUCAUACAUACAUUCUGUCUACUCCUUCCCUUACAAUUUCGUCCCUUUUCAAUAAAUGAAUGAUUGCUUAACUAAUCCUCAGUUACCCAUGGUGUUCCUAUUCCCUUCCACAGAUGGAUGCACCCGCUUCACCUCGUCCCAGUGACACUUUCUUGCACGAGUUUGGCACUCCUACCCUGCUCUGGAGAGUGUUACGGACUGUUGGGUAUACUGAGCCACCUCAGUAUUCUUGGUGGGAGAUGGAGAGCACAGGAGGGAUCCAGUGGUUUGCUAUGCAGGGAGUUGUCCCUCCACAUGGGGACAAGCCUGCAUGGACAGGCUGGACUUGCAGCUCUGAUGGGCAGACUCCUUGGGAGGCAGCUCAGGUUGCAGCCCAGACUAUCCUGCUCGAUAUCUGUCAGAGGUGUGGUGACGAGCUGACGGGAGGACCAGCGGCCUCCAUUCCUAGUGCUGACCCAGCAGCCGCGGAAUGGAAACAGGCUGAUGGUUGUGCUUUGGUUCGAGGCAGGGGAGAGAGAGCUGAGAGUUCUAGUCCUGCUAUGAGUGCUAUGAUGGCGGUGCUCAAGAUGAUUAGUCAGCGAGAGGGCACCUAUGCACAGGUGAUGAUGGCUGUUCGCAGGGCCCAGGAGAUGCAGCGAAAGGCUGAAAGGCGUGCUCGCAAGUUUCGCAAGCAAGCUAGACUCCUGGAGCAAGCUCAGAAGGACCGCAAUGACUGGGAAGACAUUGCGGAGUAUCGUAGGCAACAGUGGGUGAAGGCCAUCAGAGAGAGAGAUCAUAAGCAGGAUCAGAUGAGCCAGUUAGCUAGAGAGAAGGAGACCUUGCAGGAGCGCUUGGUGCAGCUCACCCGUGAGAGGGAUACUGCACUCCGUGUGUCGGAGAACAGGCGCCAAGCAUGGGAGAUGCACCGAGUUCAGUCGCUUGAGCGGGAGAACUAUCUGCAGGAUCAGAUUGAGGCUGGUCUUGUGGAGAUUCACCGUCUCAACAACUUGCUACACCCUGUUCCUCGCCCUAUACCCGUGUAUCCCGAGGUAGGACCUCAGGUGAUUGUGGCCGAUGAUGAUGGUAUGGAGGUCGAUGGACCAGCAGCGGCUGCACCACCUUUACACGAGGACGUGGAGGACGAGGAGCUUGAGCCGGUUAGCGACGAGGAUGGAGAGGCGAUCUUCGACGCUGACUCGGACGACGAGCCUGGAGUGUAGGGAGUAGUGGGUAUUGUGACCCAAGGAUCUUUUGUAGUAUGCCAGUCGGCUGUGGUGCUUUUGUAACCAUGUUGUAAUCCGAAACUUUGACCUUGACUCAUGGCAUGUACUGUGUUGGUGUAAUAACUUUAUGGACCCUAUGUGCAGUCUUUAUGAUCGUUAUGUUAUGCCGAUGUUUUCUGUUGUGGUGCGUAUUGCGGAUGUCUAUGUCAUGUGUUGGAUUGGUGAUGUUGUUUUGUGGAAUGGAAUUGUUGUGCCUUUCUGUAAAGCUAUUCUCUCGAAUACUUUCAGGCAUGAAUAUAAGUUCUUCUACGGCAAAUCUUGUCAUCAUCAAUACUCACUGACUGUGUCUUUACAGAUGUCUCGUGGCACCCGGGGUGCGGAACAGCGUGCAAACAUGAAUCCACCACCUCCUCCUCCACCACCAAAUCCAGCGGAGCUGAUGCAAAUGAUGGUGGAAAAUCAGAGGAUGCUCACUGAGACCAUCAAUCGUAUGGCAAAUCAGGGUGGCCGUAAUGCACAGGAAGGGCCAGCUCCUAACCAGUACAGUAGCUUCAAGGACUUCAUGGAUACGAAGCCCCCACCUUUCAGAGAAGCUGAAGAACCCCUUCAAGCUGAAGAGUGGCUGAAUACGGUGGAACAAAAGUUUCGCCUACUUCGGUUGACUGAAGGUUUGAAGGCGGAGUAUGCAGCUCACCAACUGCAAGGACCGGCAGGCAUCUGGUGGAAUCAGUACCGGGAAGCUCUACCGGCUGACACGGUGAUUGAUUGGAAUCUUUUCCGUGAGGCUUUCAAAGGGCAUUUCAUUCCUCCGGGUGUUAUGGAGAUGAAGCACACCAAGUUCAUGCAGUUGACUCAGGGCAACAAGACUCUGAAGGAGUAUUUGCAUGCUUUCAAUCACUUGUCUAGAUAUGCUCCUGAGUUUGUGAACACGGAGGCGAAAAAGAUCGCUAGUUUCAAGCGGGGUUUGGGUCCCAAAUUGCUGAAGACUAUGGGCCGCUCUAAGUGUGCAACUUUCAAUGAGUUUGUCAGUGAUGCUCUCACCCAAGAGAACUAUAACACUGUGUACACUACGACCAAGACUCGCAAGAGGGCUUUUGAGGCCAGUGCUGGGUCAUCUCAGUCCAAGGCUCUCGUGGCAGCUAAGCCACCAUUCCGUGCUCCAACCCCCAACCAGCGAUACCGCCCUCCGGUGAAGAAGAAUCAGGCAAAGACGGGUUUUCGCAAGGGGUACUCUAUUGCUCUUCCUAGGGGCAACACGGGUCCCAACUAUGCCAAGACUCCACCUGCCAACCGUCCGUGCUGGAACUGCAAUCAGACCGGGCAUUGGCAGAGCAACUGUCCUUACCCGCCAAAGAAGGGCAACCAGGGGAACGUCCGUCAGGGGCGUGUUCAUUACACAACUGUGGAGGCAAUCCCUGCUGGUGAGUUAGUCACGGCUGGUAAGUUUCUGGUCAAUCAACAUGAUGCACUUGUGCUUUUUGAUUCUGGAGCAUCGCAUUCGUUUGUGAGUUCUGAAUUUGUAUCUAAACAUAGCAUCAAGACCAUCACCCUUGAUAAGGGCAGUUAUUGUAUUAGUGCUGCGGGAAAUGAUAUUUCCACCAAUCAAGUGGUUUUGGGGGCAACUCUGGAGAUAGGAGGCCGUCAGUUUCUUGCUGAUCUGGUUGUUCUACCCGGUGUGGGCAUAGAUGUAAUUCUGGGGAUGAAGUGGAUGAGUGGUAAUGGAGUUCUUAUAGACACCACCACUCGUGUAGUGAUGUUGAAAGACCCAAAUACCAAGGAGGCAUUUCUAGUGCAACUCCCUCGUGAUAUUCAAAUCCGUAGCACUGUGAAUGCAGUUACAUCUAAGGCUAUUCAGGAUAUUCCGGUGGUGUGUGAGUUUCCGGAUGUUUUUCCUGAUGAUCUACCCGGGCUUCCUCCGGAUCGGGAUGUGGAGUUCAAAAUUGAAUUGAUUCUAGGCACUGCUCCUAUCUCUAGAAGACCUUAUAGGAUGCCGCCCAAUGAAUUAGCUGAGCUUAAGACCCAACUAAAUGAGUUGUUGCAGAAGGGUCUUAUUCGUCCUAGUUCAUCUCCUUGGGGUUGUCCGGCUAUCUUUGUAAAGAAGAAGGAUCAAUCUUUGCGCAUGUGUGUGGACUAUCGUCCCCUAAAUGCGGUGACUAUCAAGAACAAAUACCCUCUCCCUCGCAUUGAUAUCUUGUUUGACCAAUUGUCCAAAGCUAAGGUAUUCUCCAAGAUUGAUUUGCGAUCUGGGUACCAUCAGAUCAAGAUCCGUCCCGAAGAUAUACCUAAGACGGCUUUCUCGACGAGGUAUGGGUUGUAUGAGUACCUUGUCAUGUCCUUCGGCCUUACAAAUGCACCUGCUCAUUUCAUGUAUCUUAUGAAUUCGGUGUUCAUGCCCGAAUUGGACAAGUUUGUGGUGGUCUUCAUUGAUGAUAUCUUGGUAUAUUCUUGCAAUGAAGAGGAGCAUGCAGAGCAUCUGCGUGUAGUGUUGUCGCGUUUGCGCGAACAUCAGCUUUAUGCAAAGUUUAGCAAAUGCGAGUUUUGUCUAAAGAAAGUACCUUUCUUGGGCCAUGUCUUAUCUGAAGAAGGCAUAUCUGUGGAUCUGGCUAAGGUGCAAGAAGUGCUAGAUUGGAAAGUUCCAACUUCGGUACACGAGGUUCGGAGUUUUCUCGGUCUGGCUGGGUAUUACCGUCGAUUUAUUCCGGAGUUCUCCAAAAUAUCCAAGCCUAUGACUCGUCUACUUCAGAAAGAUGAAAAGUUUGUGUGGACACCUGAGUGUGAAGAGGCAUUCCACAAGUUGAGGACACUGUUGACAUCAGCUCCUGUCCUAGCUCCACCUGAUAUCGAGAAGCCUUUCGAUGUCUUUUGUGAUGCAUCAGGCAUUGGUUUAGGCUGUGUGUUGAUGCAGGAAGGUCGCGUUAUCGUGUAUGCCUCGCGCCAACUUCGAAAGCAUGAGGUCAAUUACCCCACUCAUGACUUAGAAUUGGCAGCAGUUGUUCAUGCUUUGAAAAUCUGGAGGCAUUAUCUGCUGGGUAAUCUAUGUAAUAUUUACACCGAUCAUAAGAGCCUCAAGUAUAUCUUCACUCAACCUGAACUGAACAUGUGGCAGCGAAGGUGGCUUGAGUUGAUUAAAGAUUAUAAUCUGCAAGUGCACUAUCAUCCGGGCAAGGCAAACGUAGUGGCGGAUGCCUUGAGUCGGAAAGCGCACUGUCACUCAAUUCAAGUGGAAGAUCCGUUGUUGUCACAUCUGAUGCAUCUGCUUGUACUCCACCAGAUUUCUCUCGAGAGUACCAUUCACAAUCGAGUUAUCGAAUUGCAGCAGACAGAUGUAGGCAUCCACCAUAUAAAGAGGAAAAUGAAGGAAGAAGAAACCAAGCAUUUCCGGGUUGAUGAGAACGGAAUCCUUUGGUUCAAGGAUCGACUUGUGGUCCCAAAAGACCGCGAGCUGCGAAAUCAGAUCCUAUCUGAAGCUCAUUCAUCCAAAAUGUCUAUCCAUCCUGGUAGUAGCAAGAUGUAUCAGGAUCUGAAACCUUUGUUUUGGUGGACAAAGAUGAAAAAGGAGAUAGCUGCUUUUGUCGCUCGUUGUGACAAUUGUUGUCGGGUGAAGGCUGUUCACAUGAAAGCUGGUUUGCUUCAACCCUUGUCAAUUCAUGGUUGGAAAUGGGAAGAAGUCAGCAUGGAUUUCAUCAGUGGACUCCCAAUUUCUGUUAAGGGUUACGACUCCAUCUGGGUGGUUGUAGAUUGUUUGACCAAGGUUGCUCGAUUUAUUCCAGUCCGAACUGACUAUCGUCCCCAUCAGUAUGCGGAGUUGUAUUUCGAGCACAUUGUUCGACAGUAUGGUGUGCCUCGAACAAUCAUAUCUGAUCGUGGACCGCAGUUCACUGCUCGUUUUUGGGAAUGUCUUCAUGAGCAGAUUGGUACUCAUUUGGUCCGCAGCUCUGCUUAUCAUCCCCAAACAGCAGGUCAAACUGAACGAGUUAACCAGAUCCUUGAAGAUAUGUUGAGGGCAUGUGCUCUCUCAUCAAAAGGUUCUUGGGUUAAGUGGUUGCCAUUAGCUGAGUUCUCCUACAACAAUAGUUACCAGGAGAGUAUCAAGAUGGCUCCAUUUGAAGCCUUGUACGGUCGAAAGUGUCGAACCCCGCUGAAUUGGGUAGAAGCUGGAGAGCGAAGAUACUAUGGCAUCGAUUUCGUGAACGAAGCAGAGCAGAAAGUCCGUACUAUCCAGCAACAUCUGGAAGCUGCUCAAGCUUCUCAGAAAAGUUAUGACGACAAGAGAAGGAAGCCGAUUGAGUUUUUAGUUGGUGACCAUGUGUACAUCAAGGUGUCUCCGAUGAAGGGUGUACAAAGGUUCGGAGUCAAGCGAAAGCUUGCACCUCGCUAUGUGGGACCUUAUCGGAUUCUCGAAAAGAAAGGGAAUGUGGCAUACAAAGUUCAACUCCCAGUUGCGCUUCGAGCCAUUUUUCCUGUCUUCCACGUAUCACAAUUGAAGAAGUGCCUUCGUGUACCGGAGGAACAAGUGGAAAUUCGAGAUAUCAAGUUGAAGUCAGACUUGGUGUAUGAGGAGAAACCCAUAGCGAUUCUUGAUCACAAGGAACGGGAGACGCGUAAUCGUGUGGUUAAGCUCUACAAAGUGUUGUGGAGUAACCACGGGGAAAAAGAUGCCACUUGGGAGACGGAGGAUUAUUUAAAAGAAGUUUACAAAACCUUCUUCGAAAAUCAGUAAGCUUUCAAAUCUCGGGACGAGAUUUUUGUAUGGGGGGAGGGCUGUAACACCCCAGUGUUAUGGUUGCAUCAAGCAUGUGCAUAGCAUGAGCAUCAUCAUUUACUCAAAGCAUAUCAUGAUCAUCAUCUAUCUUGAGCCAUGUCAUUCUAUGCAAAAAUGUGUUUUAAAUUGCUUAAAUAGGCUUCCUAUGCUUAUGUUUGAGAGAACAAUGCUUGUGUUUGUGCUUAAUGCCUUGGUAAUUAGUUUAUCUAUGCUUAACUUAAUCUUGGGAACAAUGUUCAUGUUGAUCACUUUUCCAAAAUAUGCUUUUAAGUCAUACUUAUGAAAAUAGACCCUAGAAACCUCUUUUGCUUAGGCUUUUAAAAAGUGUGUCAUAAAAUGUUUGCAUGUCAAAACUUUCUACAGCCAAGUUGUAGCACAUUUUAUAAGGAACAAAAGUUGUUUUAUGGCCAUCUCAUGAAAAUGAUCACAAAUAGCUCAAAAGUGACCUACAAGGCAGAUUUAGGGCUGUUUUCAACACUUAGAAAAUUUUCUAAGUCUUGGAACGAAACCAGUUUGCUCGAUUGAUUUUGAAAACUUCAUAACUCUCAAUCCAAGCCGAUCUAGCUCUUGCUCCAGUUGACAAAGUUUUAGAUCUCGCUUAGUUCUCCAAGUUUGUCAACUACGCCAUCUUCUAAUUCGCUCUGGUUUGGGAGAUAAUCGCCGGUGAAGUGGCUCUGUCAGACCAGCACCCUUUCUUCUGAAUCGAGCCUGAGCUCGUCGACGUGGCCGACCGCCGGCAGAGCUCCGACACCAUUUGUCGACCGCACGCCGCUCCUGGCCCCGCUUGUCAGCCCUCGUCGCGUGCAUGACCUCCACGGCGACGUCCCGAGCGAAGUGGACGCGUCCACUCGCUCUGCCUCGCCCUCCUUCGCCUGAAACUCGCCCGCAGCGAGCUCUCCGCCGCGAGCUCACUCCGGCGAGCUCGUGUGCGCUCCUCACUGCGCCUCCGUCCACCAAACUCCACCCAAAGCUCCGCUGUGAGCCGCUCUCCAAGCUCCACCCUCUAACUCGCCGAGAAACCCACCGGUGAGCCGACAUUCCCUUCUUCCCCCAAAUCGGUUCGCCGUGACCUUCUUCUCCGGCGAACUCAAUGUCGAGCGCUGUGAGGCUUCUCAUCGUCUUUGGUUAGGUCCUAGAGGUAGCUUAGGUCCUUAGCGAGCUUUUGCGCCACCUGGUGGAUGCUCUACCGGGUUCUCCGUCGCCGGACAUGGUGCGCAGCGCCGCCGUGCUUCCGCCGGAGUUGGGUGCUCUCGUGGCCAGCGCGUUCCACGGGGAUCCAGGCCAAGCCGCGCACCUAGGAAGCUUCGCCGUAGUCCGCUGGUGCUGUAGAAGGCCUUAGGUCGCGCUCUACCGGCCUGAGGGCUCCGGCGUAACGCCGAGCACCUCCGCCGAGCCGCCAUUGUCGACGUCGAGCCUCUUCCGGUGGCUCCGCCGUGGGAAAAGUGGGGUCAAUCGAGUCGUUAGGGUUUGGGGAUCACGCUGAUGCCCUUGGCUUGGCCGGAGACCUCGCCGUCGCAGAGAAAUCGCCGGCGAAAGUCGCCUCGGCCACGAGGAAGAAGAGCCUGACAGAUGGGACCCACAGUCAGCGACUCUCUCUUUCCCUCUUUUUCUUUUAUUUAAAAUCCUGAUUUUUGGCUUUCUUGCAAAAAUCAUAUCUCCGGUUUCUGAGAUCCAAAAAUUGUGAAACAAAUUUUUGUGGAGUUUCUUGAGAUGGCUAGUAUUUAAUAAAAAUAUAAAAUGAAUCAUGUUUUCUGAGAAAUCAUUUAUUAAGGAUUUAAUCUUGUUAUUGAUGGAAAAAUGCAUAUCUCUUGUUAUACUGCUUAGUUUGCUUUGAAAAUUUUAUGGUAGCCUUUGCAUGGCAUUAGAGUGCUCUGAUAAUGAUUUCAUGAUUUUUAGAGCACUGCAGUUCGGAUACGUAAUUUGUGUUUGAGAUAUGGCUUGUUUCAUUAAAUAAAUCAUAUAAAAUAAUUGGUGCUUAUGCUGAUGUUCUACUUUGGUGGUAAGUUUGUUUAUGGUACUCCUAAGAUGUAAAUAAUCUGAAAUCUGUUGUUUAACACCAUAUAAGUAUUGUUUCUAAAUUUAUGAAAUAAAUGCCUUGAUACGUGUUAAAUACAUAUCUUUAUUUUGGUAUGUGCAAUUGCUGUGAAAUUUUUAUGGUGAUACUUUGAUGGUGUCCUUGUGCUUCUGUAAUUUUUGUAGAUUUUUCUGAGCAUUUGAACUAGUAUCUUGUAAUUAUGCUCUUAUUUAGAGUUAAUUAAUAAAUGCCUUGUUAAAUAAAUGUUUUGGGGUUUCCAUCUGAUGAUCUGGUAACCUUGUAAUAUGUUUGUGCUCAUAGGCCAUGUGGUUGGCAUGGUUUGUGUCUUGAUCAUGUCAUUAAAUAAUUAACUAUAGGGUUAAAUGCUGUUCUGGACAGCAAGGUAGCAAUUUGGUUAUUACUUAAUGAUAACUUGACUUUCUGUGGAACUUGUCUAAAGCAAAGAUGUUCCAAACUUGUUGAACUAACUAUGGUUUAAAUUUGAGGUCGUUUGGCCAAGUAGUUUAAAUGUUAUAGCUGUUUCAAGUUGGGUUCCAGGAAUAGGUGUUCUCUGUUUUUCUGGACAGAACCUGGAACUUUGUUUAAAUGACCAGUUUCAUGUAUGAAUCUUGCUGUCAUGUUUAAAGAUUAAUUGUAGACAAUUUCAUAAGCUUUCCAGAAUGUCCUUACUCAUGUUUGUUGGACCUGUCUAUCUUUAGUUAUGAUUUAUUUACUGAGCCUCUCUGUUUGUGUUGUUUGCUGCCUUAGUGUCUUGAAAGGUUUUGGGUUAUGUUAACUUGUUCAAUUAUGCGAGUUAGUAUAACUUUUGUCCGUAAAUGAGUGUCCAGUGAGUUGCUUGUGUCAUUAAGCAUUCAUCGUUAGCAUGUGCAUUAUCUUAUCGUUCGAGCAUGCAAUAGGUGCACCGGACGUGGCAGUUUCCUUCGAGCUCCAAGCGAAUCCCGAAGGUCAGGAGGGCAGCCAGGAGGUGGAGGUCCAGCAAGCCGGACUCGAGGAGCCCGAAGAAGAAGUUGAGUGCCCGAAUCACGAGCCGGCAUCGUUCGUGAAAGGCAAGCCCCGGAGCAUUCUAAGUCUCCUUCUAUUUUUGAAAGUUUACUUAAUAUGUUAUACCUAUUGAUGCAUUAAGUCUAGGAGUUGUGAUGAAACUGUUGCUGCAUUCUACUCUAUCCUUGUCCAGAUAACUCACCCUCCCUAGUUGUAGAGUUAGGCUCGAGUAGCAGCUUAGAUAUGCUAUAAUCGGUAGAAGUCGGGUGAUAUCCUGUCAUCCGCGCGAUAUAGGGUUAUGUCGGAUCACGAUGGUCUAUAUGUGCUAUCGUGGAUGGAACCUGAUUAAAGUGACUUAAGCCGGGCGGAGUUUUGCAAGUUUGUAGUAACUCGGUCUGUGGCAGCUAAGGACCGAUCGUUGUACGUCCUCUUGUCAUGUUGAACGCAUGCCUAACACUUAGUUGGCCGGAUAACUUGUUCCGACCGCGAAGCCGAGUAGUAUGACUCAGGCCGGAAGACCGGCAAGUAUAAAGUGCGCACUACCGGAGGAAGUGCGGUGUGCGGGGGACCAUUGGCGUAAGUCCAAAGGUAGGUGAGUUAAAAUUCCUGACCUCCCUGGCAGAGUGGUAGCCCUGGGAGUGCGGCGCUGAUCGGAACCGCGAUUUCUGAGUUGUACCAAAGGUGACCCGUGGGCUCUCCGGCAGGGGAUGCCUGGGUGAGUGCUAGGAAUAAUCCUCCAGCUGGAUAGGAAUUCGAUUCGAAUCGCCGUCUCUCCCUGUUAGUGAGAACUUGACAGAGCAGCGGCAAACGUAGCAUUCACUAAUGAAUUUGGUUCAUGAUAAUGAUGAUAGCAAGAAGAACAUAUGAUGAAUUUGAUAUGGUUAUUAUUGUUUGUAAUAAUCAAGUGAUGUGUUGUAGUAGAGGUGCUAAUCUAGUGGUAGGCUGAUGAUAAAUAAAUAUGAUGCUCUUAAAAUAACUUAGUUGUAAGUUAAGCUUUUGGCAAAAGGUGAGUCAACCAACUCCACCUAAGAUUUAGCCUUGCAUGAUCCUUGGUGUCUUUUGUGUUUUACUAGACGGGUAAGUCUAGCUGAGUACAUCCUCGUACUCAGGGUUUAUUCCCACCUGUUGCAGAUGAUAUCUUCUAUGACGGUUUCUGCAAGACCUGUCUCCAUCCCGCUCGGGAUGAGGACUAACCGUUGGGCACGGUUCUCUACUCUUCUCGUCUAUGAUGCUUUUGGAAGGAUGGCAUAGACUCUGGCAGUAACAAAACUUGUGAACUGAACUUUGAACAAGUGUGUGUAACUAUUUUGCUUCCGCUACUUCAAACUUGGGUUGUAAUAACUUAAUGACUCCGAUGUGGUGCCGCUUCAUCGGCAAUGACUGACUAUGUAACUUUCGUUGUGUUUAUGUUGAACUAUUACGAUCUUGGUUUGUUGCGAGUUGGUUUGAAGUCCUUCGUGAUUUCGAUUGACUACCGGGAUUAUAUGGGCUCAAGUUGAGAAACUUGAUUGUUUGACGAUCGUUUCUGCACUUGAACUCUUAUAAUUUGGUCGGUUCUGUGACAGUUGUUGCGUCGAGCGACGUGGACGAGCUCGAGGCUGUGGAACUUGUCCGCGAGUCGACGGACUUCCUUGCAGUAUGCCUCCAUUUUUGGGUCAUGGCAGCUCGAGGCCUUCAUCACUUGGUCGAUGACGAGCUAGGAGUCGCCUCGGAUGUCGAGGCGUCGGACUCCUAGCUCGAUGGCGAUCUUGAGACCGUUGACGAGGGCCUCGUAUUCCGCGAUGUUGUUUGAUGCGGCAAAGUGAAUUCUGAUGACAUACCUCAUAUGAACGCCUAGGGGCGAGAUGAACAGCAGGCCGGCCCCAGCUCCCGUCUUCAUGAGAGACCCGUCGAAGUCCAUCGUCCACAGCUCUGACUGAACCUGAGCCGAGGGAAGCUGGGAGUCUGUCCAUUACGCGACGAAAUCCACCAGGGCUUGUGACUUGAUGGCUUUACGGGGCGCAUAAGUGAGAGUCUCACUCAUGAGCUCGACUGACCACUUGGCGAUUCUUCCCGUGGCCUCCCGACUUUGGAUGAUCUCGCCCAGGGGGAAGGACGAGACCACCGUGAUAGGGUGGCCGAGGAAGUAGUGCUGCAGCUUGCGUCAGGCGAGGAUUACGGCGUAGAUCAGUUUCAGGAUUUGGGGGCAACGCGCCUUGGUCUCCGAGAGCACCUCGCUGACGAAGUAGACCGGCCUCUGGACUAGCAUCGCAUGCCCCUCCACCUGACUCUCGACCACCACAGCUGCACUGAUGACCUGGGUCGUCGAGGCAACGUAAAGGAGCAGCGGUUCUGCAGGUUGAGGUGGGACUAGGACUGGUGCUGAGGUCAGCAUUUUCUUCAGGUUUUCGAGGGCUUCCUCGGCCUCGGGGGUCCAAGAGAAACGCUUGACCUUCUUCAAGAGUCGAUACAGUGGCAACGCCUUUUCUCCCAACCUCGAGAUGAAACGACUCAGCGCCGCUAGGCAUCCCGUGACUCUCUGCAUGCCCUUGAUGUCUCGGAUCGGCCCCAUUCUUGUGAUGGCCGAGACUUUCUCGGGGUUGGCCUCGAUGUCGCGCUGGGAAACGAUAUAACCCAGGAGCAUGCCUCGAGGUACACUGAAAACGCACUUCUUGGGGUUGAGCUUGAUCUGAUUGGCGCGUAAGGAGCUGAAAGCGAUCUCGAGGUCCUGGAUCAGUUCUCCCUGCCGCUUUGACUUGACGACGAUGUCGUCGACAUAGGCCUCGACCGUCGACCCUAUGUGCUUGCCAAACAUGUGGAGCAUGCAACGCUGAUAUGUGGCUCCCGUGUUUCGAAGCCCGAACGGCAUGGUUACAUAGCAAUACAUCCCAAAAGGGGUGAUGAAAGACGUCGCGAGAUGGUCGGACUCUUUCAUUUUUAUUUGAUGGUAACCAGAAUAUGCGUCAAGGAAAGAAAGGGUUUCACAUCCCGUAGUAGAAUCAACAAUUUGAUCGAUACGUGGUAAUGGAAAGGGAACUUUUGGACAUGCUUUAUUUAAACUUGUAUAAUCGACACACAUCCUCAUUUUCCCAUUCUUUUUCUUAACUAGUACAAGUGCUAACCAGUCGGGGUGGUGAACCUCCUUGAUGAAUCCGGCCGUCAAAAGCUUGUGGAUCUCCUCGCCAAUGAUCUUGCGCUUCUCCUCGUCGAAUCGGCGCAAUCGUUGCUUCACUGGGUUGGAACCGGCUCGAAUUUCCAAGGAGUGCUCGGCGACUUCCCUCGGUAUGCCUGACAUGUUCGAGGUACUCCAUGCAAAUAUGUCGGUGUUCGCACGGAGAAAGUCGACGAGCACAGCUUCCUAUUUGGGGUCGAGGUCGGCGCUGAUCGUCAGCGUCUUGCCGUCAGAGUUGUUGGGGUCGAGUGGGAUCUUCUUGGUUCCUUCCGCCGGCUCGAAGCUACCCGCGUGGCACUUGGGCUCUAGAGCCUCAGCGGCCAGGGCCUCGAGCUUCGAGACGAGCUCGGUGGAGCUCUUGACUGCUUCCCCAUAUUCAACGCAUUCGACGUCGCAUUCGUACGCGUGCUCGAACGAGGAGCUGACGGUGAUGACGCCCUUUGGACCGGGCAUCUUCGGCUUCAGGUAGGUGUAGUUGGGGAUGGCCAUGAAUUUGGCGUAACCCGGGCGUCCGAUGAUGGCGUGGAACGUGCCCCGGAACCCCACCACCUCAAAGGUGAGGGUCUCCUUUCUGAAGUUGGCCGCCGUGCAAAAGCAGACCGGUAGGUCGAUUCGACCCACCGGUAGCGCCUUUUUCCCUGGUACGACGCCGUGGAAGCCACUGGCGCUUGGUUGGAGUCGCGCCCUGUCGAUGGCUAGGGGGUCGAGGGUCUCGAGGUAGAUGAUGUUGAGGCUGCUGCCGCCAUCCAUCAGCACCUUUGAGAGCCGGGUGUUGACGAUGAUGGGGUCGACAACGAGCGGGUAGACGCCAGGGGCAACUACCUUGUCGGGGUGGUCCUCUCGAUCGAAGGUGAUGGGGGUGCUCGACCAGCUGAGGUAUUGGGGCACCGCCAUUCUUGCCGCGAAGACCUCACGGCGUUCCCUCUUGCGCUGCCUCGCGGUCAACUGCGUCGAGGGCCCGCCAAAGAUCAUGUAGCAGUCGUGGACGGCUGGGAAACCGUCGUCGUCCUUGUUGUCCUCCUUGUCGCCACCCUUCUCCUUCUUUGGGUCAUCUCGCGCGUCCUUCUUGAACCCCAGACCGUCGAAAUGCUUUUUCAGCAUACGGCAGUCUUUGAGCUUGUGGUUGGCUCCUCCCUUAUGGUACGGGCACGGCUCCUCUAGCAACUUAUCGAAGAUGCCCGCCUCCGGAGGGCCUCGAGGCCUUUUGCGUUCCAUGGCGGCGAUGAGAUCAUCGUCGAGGUCUUCUCGCUGGAAUGGUCGGGCUUUCUUCUUCUUCUUGUUCUUCUUGGGCCCUCGACCGGGGCCCUCGUCCUCAUUAGCGGGCUGCUUGCCUUUCCUUCCUUCACAGCUGAAGAAGGCGCCGACCGCUUCUUCCCCCGCCGCGUAGUUGGCCACUACAUCCAUCAGCUCGUCGACGGUCUGAGGGUGAUUCCGGCCUAAUUCCCACACCAUGUCUUGACUGGUGGUACCAGAGACAAAGGCCAGGAUGACGUCGUGGUCGGGGAUAUGCGGCAGCUCGGUGCGUUGCUUUGAGAAGCGUCGAGCGUACUCUCGAAGAGUUUCUCCUGACUUCUGCUUGCACUUGCUGAGGUCCCACGAGUUCCCAGGCCGUAUGUAGGUCCCUUUGAAAUUACCCUCGAAAACUCUAACCAAAUCGACCCAGUCGUGGAUCUGAUCGGCUGGAAGCUCCUCGAGCCACCUACGGGCGGUGUCGGAGAGGAAGAGUGGCAGUUGUCUGAUGAUGGCUCGAUCGUCUCCUCAAGCGCCUCCCAGCUGACAGGCCAGCCUGAAAUCCGCCAGCCAGAGCUCUGGCUUGGUCUCACUGUUGUACUUCGUGAUGCUGGUCGGGGGUCGGAACGGGCUGGGCAGCGGCGUGCUGCGGAUUGCCCUGCUAAACACCCGUGGGCCCGGUGGCUCUGGGCCAUUCGGUCCUCAUCACUGUCGUAUCUCCCGCCACGGUGGGCGCUGUAACCGCGCUCUUCCGCGUCCCCAUGCCGACGGCGACGAUUCUCUUCAAUGUCGCAUCGUGCGUCGUGUCGACGUUGGUUGUCAUUGGGGAGGACGAGCGUGGUCUUUUUCCCUCGAGGGGGCAACUACUGAUGGACUGAUACCUCCUUUUCGUUCUGGGCAGGCUCGUUGCGCUUUUCCGUGGCUGCCCCUCGACGUCGAGAGGCCGAUCUUUCUGCCUGUUGAACCGCUGCCACCUGGAGCAGAGUCUGCACCUCGUCUCAGAUGUGCCGUGCUUGGGAAUUCGAGGGCUGGGGCAUGUUGCGCAACAGCAUCGUUGCUGCCACAACGUUCUGGCCCGCUCGAGGGAAGCGGCUGACAGGUUGUUCUAUCUCCCCGUCCUCGAUGAUUUGUCGAUGUACCUCUCGAGCCCUUCUACGGACACUUCCGCCGAGUGGGUAAGGCAGGUCCUGCUCAAGGAUCUGUUCGAGCAGGACGAGGCGCUCACGAUCUUCAUCAAGUUUUGUUUUGAGCUCUCGCAGCUGCGCAAGUUGCGCGGCUUUGUCUUCCUGUAGAGGUGGGUCGACCUGUCCGUCGUUCCCAGGCGUCCUGGGUCUUCCCUUGCUGCAGGGGCUCGACCGCCUGCAACAGCGUCCUGCGUCUCGUCGGUGGUCUCCACCGCCCCGUCGAUAUGGAAGCACUCCCUAGUAGGGUCAUGGCUGUCGGAUUCCGAGCCGGAGUCCGGUUCGGUGGCGUAGAAGCAUCCGCGUCCUUCCUCCAGCAGCCGCUGUCUGAGGGAGGUAAUCGUGUACCGUCCGGGGCCUAGGCGGCGGAGGCCUCGUACCUGGGAGAAUUCCGGUAGCUCGGACGUCGGUCACUGUGCUCCUGGGUCGCGUGGGAGGACCAUUGGUCUCUCUACGUACGUCUGGGCGUUUGGGCAUAUCGCCCUGGCGAGCGAUGCUGCGGCAUUGUCCAAGCCGAACGGCAAUGCUCUUCUUGGGGCGAACAGCCCGUGUGGAAGUAGCCCGGCGGUGGGGGAGAGCGCGCGGGGCGCGUCCCCUCCUGUCGUCAUGUGAUCCUCGCGGUGCUGAGCCGUCAGGCCCACAGCUCCAGCGUGUGGGGCUGUCGACUCCUGUGUCACCUCCUGCCUGGCACGAACUGCUGGUCGUGAUGAGGCAGAGAGGCGACGGUGGUAGUGUCCACGCCUCUUCUUGGGCGGGGAGGCGUGGUGGCGAGGGCGUCUCGGGGCCCUUGACCGUGCUGGCACAACGCGGGCUCCUCCUGGUCCCUUGAUCGAGAGCAAGAUCAUGUCAUAGCCGGAGCCAGUAGACAUGAUCUCGAGACUCCCAAACCAAAUCACCGUGGAGCGCAGAAUCGGCGAAAUGAGAGUGGCCAUCUGGAAAAGAAUGGGAAGUCGGUGAAAAACACGCAGGACCCCUACCUGGCGCGCCAACUGUUGGUGUUUUCCCCAUGGGGGGUCACACCAACGAGUGAAUUUGUAUGCGUGCUCCCUUUCCCAGAUGGUGAUGCAAGAGACACACAAAGAUUUAUCCUGGUUCGUGCAAGAGAAGGCCCUACAUCCAGCGGGGGGAGAGAGUUUGUAUUAUUUUGCUCCUAAGUGCUUGUACAGGGGUGAAUACAAGCGUGGUAUGGAGUGAGAUGGAGUAUGAAAGUUCUACUGCGUAUGGGUGUAAUGUUGCGUGGUGUCUUGUGUGUUGUGUUCGCUCCCGGGCCUCCCCUUUUAUAGUUCCAAGGAGAAGCCUAGGGUACAAGUAUAGGCGUCAGAGUAGGGGUCGAUAGAAGUAUGGCGCGCAGACCUACUCGAGGCCUCCGUACCGGCGUGGUCUUGAGCCGUCCUAUCUCGGUAGCUUGAUGAUGAUUACGCGUGCCCCUGUAUCCUGCUCUGUGCGCCGUCUUGGACUGGUUCCUUGGUUGCACGCCUGUACGACAUAGCGGCAGAUCCGUUGGAGUGGUUGCUGUGUUGCCAUUCGACGCCCAACCCUUCCCCGGGAAGGAAACGUGUCCGGUCGAGGGUCAGACGCCGUGUAGCGCCUUGCUAUCCAGAGCGUUGACCCUGUAUGUCUCGAGGGGGUCUUGAUUAGAUGUUCCAUCCAUGCUUCCCGCGUCCUGACAUGCUCUGGGUUGUUUGGUGGGUAAGGCUGCAGAAAGAAUGAUGGGACGGGUGCCUGUUCUCUAUCACGCUUCCCGUGACUGGCGUGUUAGGUGGGAACGCGACAGGCGCAUUAAAUGCCCUGGUUCCCGCACGCGCGUCAGGCGGCGUCCUCGUGCUCGACGCCUCAUGGUUCACUCAAGCCUAUUUCCGUAUUCGACGGUAGUUGGCGCUCGAGCGCUGAUCGAUUCGCUCAACGCCCUUUCCAUUCUCGAGGCCGCGGUCGUCGAUGACUGUAUGCGCGACUGAUUUGGUAGAGCGUCGAGUUGGGGGCCUCGACUUGCGUACGGGCAAUCUUAUUAUGUGCAUCAGUUAGGACACCCCUUACUGAUACCCUCAACAAUGUUUGAUUAGACGGGUAAGUCUAGCUGAGUACAUCCUUGUACUCAGGGUUUAUUCCCACCUGUUGUAGAUUGUGUCUUUUAUGAUGGCUUCUGCAAGACCUGUCUCCAUCCCGCUGGGGAUGAGGACUAAACCGUUGGGCGCGGUUCUCUAACGACUUCAUACCCUGAUUCUUUUGGUGGAUGAGAUGAGACUCUAGCAGUAACAAGAACUGGUGAAAUGUGUGUGUAAACUUUUUUGCUUCUGCUACUUCAAAACUUGUGUUGUAAUAACUAAGUAACUCUAAUUUGGUGCCGCUUCGUCGGCAAUGAAUUACUAUGUAACAUCCGUUGUAUUAUGUUGAACUAUUACGAUCUUGGUUUGUUGUAAGUUGGUUUGAAGUCCUUCAUGAUUUCAGUUGACUACCAGGAUUAUAUGGGCUCAAGUCUGGAAACUUGAUUGCUAGAUCGAUCGUUUCUACAAUUGAACUCUUAUAAUUUGGUCGGUUCUGUGAUAGCUGGUAUCAGAGCAAGUUCAGCAUUAUAAAUGCAGCGUUUGUGUAUUAAAAAAAAGAGUUGAUAAAUAAAUUGUAAAAAUCAAUUCCUAGAUUAUGCCAGUGGUCGAAUCCUCCUUGCCCGUAUAAGGACUCUAGGUGGCUAUUUAAAUACUAACUUGGGGGGGUUUAUUUAUGCAUCUUCGGCAGUACUCAGGUAUGGAUGUGUGAUGAUGGCACUAUGCUACCCUGUGGUCUAAUGGUAGAGGUAGCCUUUGUUGAUGGUCCUUAAGUAUCAAAUUUAAUUGUCAAGUAAAUAAAGAAAAGGAUCCAAAUGAAAUCAACAUCCAUACUUACGGUUUUAUUUGACAGAAUUCGACGAGUUUUGGUGUUUGUCUAUUUCUGCAGGGGGUUAUCAAUAAAUACGGAAAAAAGGCCCACACGUCGGGAUUACAUAGAGAUAUCAACGUGCCGUGCAAUUAUCUUACAUCUAGAAGACUCCAGAAGCUACGGGAAGGAAGCGGAGGCCGAACGGAGCCUGGCCCUAGGCGCCCGCCCCCCUUCUGAGUCCAAUCAGGACUCUCUUUCGGGAUCAAUCUCUACCGACCUAAAGGAUCAAGGAUAACCAUUCAAUCAAUGUCGGUUUGAUCCAACGGCCCAUAUUCACUUGGAGGGACUAUAAAACCAGACCCCCUGGCCCCUGGAGGAGAGAGCCUCUCAACCCUAAUUCAUUAUUCCGCAAGGGAGAAGAAGCCUCUGAUCAAGCCUAGAGCCACCACAUCAAUUAGACAUCUAGAUUAGCAUAGCUACAUAGGAUUAGGACUAGAAGGAGUCAAUCUUCAAUUGGUUUCCGGAUCUGUCAAGAGGAUUCUUGGUAAUUCUCUAAUUGUUCUUCUAAUUGUUCAUCUUUGUUCUUCAAUAUUAUGAAUAUGACUUUGUGCUACUUCAAUAUAUUGCUUAUGACUUUGCCCUACUUGUUUAUAUUCAAGAUUAUAUUGUUCUUAGUUUAUCAUGGUUAUACACUUGGCUUAGUUAGAUUGGAUCUAUAUACAUGUUUAGGAUCGUAUAGCGUUUAUCGAUCGGAUCCAUGGGUAAAUGAUAGAUAUUGUGUAGGUGUGGUGCUUAUACCGUAUUUAUCUGCGAUUGUACCCAAUAUGGCAGAUCGUGGGGUAGUUCGUGAUAGUGACAGCUUCAUUGAUUCUUAUAUAGUCCCCCUCUCGUGUAUUGGGCUGGCAGAGCAACAUUAUUACAGGGGAGUGAUUGCGAUGUUUCUCAUAUUCCUUGCUAAUAUAACUAUGCAUGGGCGUACUCUUUUCUUGCAAUGAUUGCUAAGUAUGGUUGCACUAACUAUGAUAAUGCUAGACUAUAUAGUUGAGAAUAACUUAGGAAAUAUUCUUGUAGUUCAUUCUAAUUCCAUGCUAAUGACUUGCUAGAAUAUCUAACUGAGGUGCUUAUCAUAUUUAUUAUGUGGCUAAGUUACGCUGAUCAAAUUAAUUAUCUUUGUCACCAUUCAUACUUUAUAUAUCCUUUAUGGGACACUUAUCCCUGUAUGAAAGAGUUAGAUAAAUGUUCUCAAUUAUACAUGCAGUGAUAGAUACUCAAUCUUAUAUUCCAUUGUAUAAUCAACAUAGAUGGUUAUUAAUCCCUUCCCAGUGGUAAAAAUAUAAAUAACGAUACCUGGAAUACUUCUCGGUUAAAAUGCUACAUCGGUAUUAAUCUGUGCGCUUGCAGAUCCUAUUCAUUAUUUAUCUACAUGAGCAAUUGCAUAUUUGAAUACCAUGUUUCUCAUGUCAUGCUGGGGAUGACAACUUGGCUUAAGUGGUAUGAGGGAUAGGUUUGGCAUUUUUGGCACCGUUAUCAGAAUUAGGAAACUAAGUCUACUUUUGGUAAUGAUGUUAAGAAUACCCAACAAGCAUUUUUGGCGCCGUUGCCGGGGAAGGUUGAUUACUAAUCAGGAAUGAAUAUAGGAUUUUGAUUUAUCAUUCGCAUCACUAAUGUUAUUGAGCUUAUCAAUUCGCUCAUACAGUUUUACCCUGAUAUUUUUUCCAUUUUAUCUUAUGCAGGGUAAUGUAUGAAUAGAAGACAUCUUCUAGGAAAUUUUGUUGACAAUCCCGAAGCGUUAUUCAGAAAAACAAGAGCUAAGCUCAAGAAGAGAUCAUCAACACUUCAGCAAGAAGCUUCAUCUAAUCAAGAAGAUCACCGAAGUUUCACCCGGAACUUGUCUUCAGAGUUCGAAGCCAUGGCGAACAAAUUGAUCCGUGAGUUCUCAGCUCCCACUACGGACAACAUCCGCAAUGGACCUGCUGCAGAGAUCGAUGGCAACUUUGAGCUCAAGCAUGGACUUAUCAACAUGGUGCAAUCCAAUCAGUUUUGUGGGAAGGCACAUGAAGAUGCUAGUGCUCACCUCCAACACUUCCUGGAGAUAUGCAGCACAUUCACCAUAUCAGGAGUCCCCAGAGAUGCUAUACUACUUCGCCUCUUCCCAUUCUCACUGUUAGGAAGAGCGAAGCAGUGGUUCUACGCUACAAAGGAGAAGAAUACUACAUGGGCACUCUGCUCCACGAACUUUCUGGCUAAGUUCUUUCCCAUGGGCAAGACCAAUGCUCUCCGUGGGAAAAUUACAAGUUUUCAGCAACAACAUGAUGAAUCUGUUCCAGAAGCAUGGGAGCGCUUCCAAGACUACAUCCUAGAAUGUCCCCAUCAUGGAAUGGAGAGUUGGCUAUUGAUGCAGACGUUUUAUCAUGGGCUCGGCAACAGUGCCCGAGAGACCAUGGAUGCUGCAGCCGGAGGAGCAUUCUUAUCACUCACCAUAUCACAAGCCACAGCUCUUGUGGAGAAGAUGGCGUCCAACCAAAGCUGGAAUGAAGAGAGGACCCAGACACGCAAGAAAGGUGGAGGUAUGCAUUAGCUUAAGGAGGUAGACAUGCUGUCUGCAAAGCUAGACCUGCUCAUGAAGAAGCUCGAAGAUAGAGCUGGAGACAAGAAAGAAGUUAUGCACACCUACGACUCUUACAUGACUUGUGAGGAGUGUGGAGAUACUGGACACUCAGGCAAUCACUGCCCUAAGAUGCUUGAGGAUGUGAACUACAUCAACAAUAACAACAACAACUACUGCAACUGUCCUCAACAAAAUUAAGGUUGGAAUCAACACAGGCCUAACUACUCAGGUAAUUAUCAAGGUAAUAAUUCUUACAACAAUAAUAAUAAUUAUCCACCCCUGAGAGAGUUAGUGUCUAAUCAAGGAAAGCUAAUGGAUAAUCUAUCUAAGAAAUUGGCAUCUAAUGAUAAAAUGCUAGAAAAUAUAAAUAAUAGAAUGGAUAGUUUCUCUACUGCCAUCAAGUAUCAAAUUAGCUUUAAUAAAAUGAUUGAGUCUCAGUUAAAUCAAAUAGCUGCUGCUGUUCCUACUACUAACCCCGGUAUACCAUCACAACCGGAAGGAUUAGAAUCUACAAAUCUUGUAGACAUGUUUGAUGCAGGUAACUGGAGUAACCCCAUCACUGAAGUUACUACUGACCUUCUGCCGGUCAAGAGAGGCGAUCCAGGACUCCCCGUCAUCCCGAUCUCCGUCGGCAUGGUGGACUUCCCAGAAGCACUCUACGACUUUGGCUCUAGUGUCAACAUAUUCCCAGGGUACUCUAUGAAAAAUUCUUUACAUAUCCUUUAUCAGAAACAACCAUGUGUUUGCAGAUUGCAGAUCAGACGAUAAGUUUUCCAAAAGCAAUAUUGAGGAACCUUUGUGUCCGAGUUGGUACCUUAUACGCGCCAGCAAACUUCGUGGUAAUAGAGACCAGUAAUGAUGAGAGGGCACCCAUCAUCUUAGGGAGGCCAUUCUUGAACACCUCGGGAGCUGUCAUCUACGCUAGUGCUGCCAAGAUCAGUUUCUACAUCAAAGGGAAGAAGGAGACGUUUUCCUUCAAGAACAAGACUACACAAAUCCCAGAGAAAUCCUAACAUGAACCAAGGAAGAGGACCAACACGUGGAACAGGAACAAGCAAGUGUGGACCGAGUAAGCUAAGUUGAUCACUGCAGUUCAAGAAGGUCAAGAUCAUCAACUUAAGUCACCGUUUCUGACCAAAAAGGAUGACCCAAGAAUGCCAAGCAUCUAUUGCUCCAUAAAUGGAUACAACUUCUACAUGACGACUUGCAAUUCUGGAUCGGGCGUCAACAUAUUGGCCGCAGUCACCUAUCGGCUCUUGUUCGAAACCAUGCCCUUAAAACCAACAUACAUUCAGCUCCAGAUGGUAGAUCAGACAUUUCGAGAGGUUAAAGGAACAGUAACUGAUGUCGCUGUCAAAAUAGAUGAUCAUUUUGUCUACACCGACUUUCAGGUUAUUAACAUGGGAGAAGACGAAUACGAUCCACCCAUCAUCCUUGGAAGACCAUUCCUCAGCACCGUUAAAGCAAUCAUCAACAUUGUAACCGGAGAAGUCCAUAUGCACUUCCCCUCAGAAAAGGUACGCCGCUAUUUUACUGACCCUAACUAUAUCGUUGAAGACUCUAAGCAGGUCAGGAAACGACGCAACCGCAACCAGAGGAGGCAGAUCAUCAAGGACGGAUGGGCAGACUAUGAAGGAGAAGUGGUAAGGUCAGAAGACAUACAGUUUAAACAGAACUAUCCAAAGGAGACCGUAGCACUAAGUCAGGUGUGGAAAGAGAAGAUAAAUAUACAUGAAGAGAAGGCGCCGCCGGAAGUACCGACGCCGCCACCCAACGAAUCCCACGACAAUUGAGAAAACGGAAAGUCCCGUUCGGAGGACUUAAAAACAACGAACGCCUUGCCAAGAGGUAAACUUGGUAGUUAUCCUUUCCCUUUUAAUUAUUUCAAAUAGUUUGCUUAGUUAAUCAUGUUCAUACUAUCUUGAAAAGAAAAUAACAAAAUGUUAAAAAAAACAGUAAGCCCCAUGUGACUAUACGAGUGGCAUGAAACCCAUAAGUACAUUCACUGUGGUGGCAUAAAAAUAAAAUAAAUAUUUCUUUUCUGCUUUAUAAAAACGAAAAUAUAAAAAUAGAGAGUAACAUUUAUCGAGGAGGCUCAACCUGAAAAAGGCUAGAUAUUAAUGCUAACACUUAAUCAGUUCCACAAAGCUUUGUUGUCUAUUUGAGCUCCACAGAAUUUAAGAAUCAAGAAGACUAGCAGACGGAGGACAUUCUAAUCGCUGUCACAAUGCUACCGACUUUCAAACACACCUCUGCCACCUGCUAGCUACAUCAAGAGAAAUUCAUCUUGGGGGAGAGCACCCCCAUUUAUCCCGCUAAGUAUCUCUAUCUAUCUUUAUAAUUAUACAAUAUAAAUAUACAAAACUAUGAAAAACCAAAUAAAGAUUUUGUGCUUAUAUAUAUAUAUCUUUUGCUUAGUGUGCUUAAUAAAUAAAUAAAGUGGCUAUGCUAAACUGAAUCUUAAUAAUAAAACUCUAGCAUGGAUAUGAUGAAUAGUUGCUCUGCCUAAUUUUCAAAUUUGAGUUCUCUCUCAAAGUUUAGACAUAACUGUUAUAAUUUAAAGCUUGCUCUAAACCUGAACUUGUGGGAAGAAAACAUGAUAUGAAGUCUAAGUUGUUAAUGGAUAUGAUAUGGGAAGGUUGAGCUGCUGUUUAUCUGUUCCUAGAGAUACUAGAAUUCCAGAGAAUUUUAUCUUUUAAAAUCUUUAAAAUAUCGCAUGAUGAGUUCCUGUAUGAUGAGAGUUUAAAUUCCUACCACAGCCAUAUAUACAUGCUUGCUAGACUUUGAGCCACACAUUUACUUUUACUACUUAUGAGCAUUGAGUGUGGUCAAGCUGUGUAGACCCCUAGGAGCUUGUCAUGUGGUUAAAUCAAGAUUCACUUGCACGUUCACUCACACAUGCUACUUCUAUUCCAGAAGUACCAUCCACAUAUAUCCACCCAUUUCCAUCUCCAGAACCACCGAAAAAUAUUCUACUCCUAAUCCGGGAGAAAAUAGCCAAAAAUAUUUCUAUUUUUCCCCUGUGAAAUAAAUGCUCAAGUUAUCUUGUUACUACCAUUUGCUAUAUUAUCUCAAGAGAUGAGUGCUCUAAAAAAAAGAGAUACGAGGAAAUAAAAAGGGGCAAGUGCCUGGAACCUCGGAAGAAAAGAAAAAGUGAGACGAGAGGUAAAAAUGGACAAGUGCCCGACAGUAGAUUAGGGGUACAAGAUGCCCACCUGAGAGAAAGAAAAAGAAAAAGACGAGCAUCUCAUUCUCCUCACAAAGUUUCAAAGAGCAAGAAAGGUAUGUAUCCCCUCAAAAGAGCAAAAUUAGAAUUAGACUUUCACCAUUGUUAUCACCAUCAUCACCAUACACCAUUCAUUCGCCACACAUGCACAUCUUGGUUUGACUUAUUGAUUUGUUUCUUUGGAUACAUGGUUUGACUAUGCAAUAAAUGUCUUGUAAGUAUGUAUACUUUAUCUCCCACCUAUGAGCUCCAGAUAUUAAAGCCUUAUUAGAGUAGGGUAAGAGAGAAGGCAACGUCACUGUGCCUUAUACCACAAAUACUACAUAUCUUGAGAGAAGGCAUAUACCAUCACGGCUUUGGUAAGGAUCCAGAAAUACCACAAAAGAGAGAUUUGAGAGAGUCAUACAAGGAAUCUCUGAGUUUUAUUUGAAAAUCUGCAAAAACUCCAGAGCUAUAGCUGA